CUGCUGUAGCGUGUUGUAGCGCCAUCGCUAAACUGUCCUCCCUCGGGUCCUGGACUAUGUCACUUUAUCCUAGUUGUAGAAGUCCUGCAAACAUUGUGUUUGCUGGUAGUCUGUUGGCAUCUACAGUAGCACCAAUGCUUUUGACUUUCACCUUGACUGGGCCCCAUUUGUAAUGAUCUGAAGUAUUUAUCUGCAUUAUAUCUGAAUUUAAUUGGAACGAUACGAGCGAGCAGGAGCGUCUGUUUGUGGGCGGGGCUUGAGGGGAGAGGAGGAGCUGAGGGGAAAACUGGUUGGGAGGGGUAGAGUUUACAUUCAAGAUUUCUCCUAAAAACAGGAACUUCAUCAGAUCCUGACUACACCACCUUUAAGUGUUUUAUCAUUUGGAAGUUGGCAGAUCUCAGCUCCCAGUCAGGGCCUGCAGGUGGAUGUUAGGGUGGUGGUGGUGGUGGUGGGUAUGAAAAUGUGAGUGAAACACUUCAGCCUGGCAGUGGAGAUACUUGUAUAUGAGUGUGAAAGGUUAGAAAAUACACACCUGUUCAAACAGUCUCCACUUUGUUUUUCGAGCGGCACCUGGAGUCACUUAAACUUUGAUUUCAUGCAUCCAUCUUUUAUUACAAAUCACACUUAUUGAGGCUUUAACAACCACUGAUGUUAAAAUGCCGGUGGAGGUCAUAUGAUCCCUUUGCUAAAAAGCUGUAAAAUAUGUACCCAGAUAGUUUAUAAGCACGCAGAGUAAUAAAGAAAGAACACUUAAGUCGACAAAGAUGCUCUAAUAGAAUAAAAAUGAAGCAAAGACUUAAUGCAAAGCACAGAAACCAAUAAAACGUGUCUGUUUUUAAUGAUGGAUGCUGUUAUAUAGUAAACAACACAGCGGAGCACCGCAUUAUUGUGCGUUUGUUUAAACAUGUGGCACAUACGUUCACAAUAUACAUACAUUAAAACCACAUAAAUGACUUUGUGUACGAUAAAAGCGCAGCCACAGAGAAAGGCAGAGAUGCAGCAUUUCCAAGACUCCAGGCUGCAAACAUUUCUGCCUCCUUGUUUGACAUGAUUUCACCACAUAAAAUCUGUGCGCACAAACAUCUGAUGACGACAGAACGAAGACGAGAGCGAGCGGAGUCUCUGAGAUUUCUGAUGGAGGAUGAAUUUGUCCGAAAAGAUCUGAAACAGCUGCGUAGUCUCUCAUAGAGUAUGGUUCCUCUCAUGGUCUCUCAGGCUCCUUCUCAUCCAGGACAAACACAGGAACACAAACACCUCCUCCUCCCCUCUCCUCCUGUAAUGACGGCUCUGCAAUGCUUCGCCACUUGUCUCCUCACUCCUUCCCAUCCUUGUUAGCGGUGCUAGCCUUGACCUUGACAACCAAGCAGGCUGCCAUCACAGCUCAUUAACAUUAACAACAGUCUGCCUGGUGUGAACUGCCGGCUAUGGGAACCUUCUGGACUUUUAUGGCUCCAAUUGGCUGUCAGGUCCUAACAUGUGGAAAGAGGAAGUUGUAUUAUCUUCACUGCUCAGCUAAUGGUAGGCUGCAUUCAUGUUAGAAAUGCCUCACGGUGUGCAGCGGUUAACACCCACAUGUGGAACAGCGCGGCAACAAAUUGUGCCUGAACGCUGAGAAAACUGGAGCCUACAUUUCCCCCCAAAACUCCCAGAAACUGAACCGAUUUUGAUCUGAACUGGGCUGAAAGUAAACCCACUUUACCUUCUUCUGUAUUAUCUUAAUGCAUGACGUCAAGAACAUGCUUAAAAGUGCAACAUAGACUGUUUUAACUGUGUUUAAGCUGCAAAAACUCAAAUGUUGGCAACAGAGUUUGUCUUAUUUUAGUGAAAAUAUUUAACAAGACUCAACAUAAAGUCCAGAUUUGUGGUUUGAUCUCAGGUCAAAAAAUAAGACCUGAAAUGCUUUUUAUAAGUAAAAAUAUCUGCCAGAGAAAAGUUGACUUAUUAUACGUCUUUUAAUCUGGAUAAUUUGUUGUUAAAAACAGGGAGAAGUCUGAGGUAGUUUAUUAGGUACUAUUUUCACUUUUGGGGGUCUAGAACAUUUCAAAAGGCAUGUCAACUCCUCUGAAUUAAAAUGAUAUCCCCAAACAUGCUUAACUUUAUCCAGAAAUCACUUUAAAACAAGGUUUAAUGAAGCACUUUCACAGACAUGCAAACAAAUCCAACAGCACAAAAGAUAAUCGCAAUCUAACUGAAAAAUCAAGAUCAUUACCAAACUUAUCUGAAUAAAAAGGAGAAAAAAAGUCAGAUAUGUACCUAAAAUAUAUUCCCUUAGUACUUUAAAUAUGUCUUUUUACUCUAAAACAUUUCUGUGAAAUAGAAAGAAAGACGAAUGAUAGAGUGAAUGUUGAUAUUUAAGUACCGGUUGUAAAUUCAGUGUUAUAGACCUUAAACUUCAUAGUCUUUUAUUGUCCGAAGAGUCUCAAACUACAGAAUAUUUUUAUAAAAGAUAAAAAAACAGAGUCUUGUAUUAAAGUGACAUUUGAACCCCCCCUCUCUGUAUCUUAUCUGCUUCCUUUCCCUUUUUUCGGAGGUCCUUCAGAUUUACAUUCCAGCCACCGUCAGACAUUCUGAAAUCUAUAAACACCGUCUUACAGGUGCACACUCUGUGACAGGAUGUUCAGAUAGUCCUCCAGCUCCUUUUGAACAAAUAGUUCAGAUAAGUAUGAAGCACAAGAAGCCACUCAAUGAACUAAAUCAGGAGUUGAACGUUGAUUAAAUGGAUUCAUUUGGGUCUGCGGGGCCAAACAAAAACAUCCAGAGUCAACAACCACGACAAAAAUCACACAAACAAACAGAGAGCUGGUUUUUAGCAGGUCGCUAAAGGUCGUUUCCCAGUGGAACGAUGACAUAAUACACCAAAACAGUCGACAAGAAAAAAAAAGACCCAAUUGCAGAAUAUAAGGUGAUUUAAUGAAAAAAUAACUAAAUAAAAAGCAACAAAAACCCUCUUAUAAUGUCCAACUCAAAAAUCCCAAGAAACACAGGAGGCAAAAUCUAAAUAAUUAAAAAAAUCUAAAAUCCAACAAAAGACAAAGACACUGAGGGAAAAAAAACACAUGGAGACAUUGACGUGCAGACUUACAACAUAAAUCCACAAAAUGAACCAAAGAAAGAAACAGGGGAAGAGAAGGACUUUAUAUACAAACACAGGGAAACGAGAAACGAGAGGCAGGUGAGGCACUGAGACACAGGUGAGGACGAUUACAGAGGAGGGAUAACUGAGGAAGUAAAACAAGGGAAUGAACUACUACAAAAUAAAACAGGAAACACUGAAAACUGAUAAUAGAGAAUAAACACUGAGAACAUGAGGGAACUGGGGUCACAAGACAAGACUACAGGGGAACAGAAACACAAGGGAAAAUUCACUCAAAUCACAGGGAAAAACUCAAUAAAGAGAACACAUAGUGACAGAUACAACUUUCACUCGGUCUGAUCUGGUUCACCUCCUUUAUGCCGGGAUUGGUGAGACCCUCCACUGUGACAUCAAAAACCUAAAAUCCCAAAAACCUAUGGAUCUAAAUUUAAGCUUCAAAACCCUUUGAGCUAGAGCUUCUGCUUUAUAUAGGAAAGAGUAUUAGGGUAGGACAUAGCACAUGAUUUUUUUUUUUUUAUCAUACUAUACUAUAAAAUUUACUUAAAAAAACUAUAAAACUAUACUUUGAAUUUUUUUUAUCAUACUAUACUGUGACAUUUUUAUCAUACUUUGACAAACUUUUAACAUACAAAACAAUGACAUUUUUUUUUAUCAUACUUUACUAUAAAUAAUAUUUUCAUACUAUACUAUGACAUUUUUCUAUCAUACCAGUCUAUGACAUCUUUUUAACAUACUUUACUGUGACAUUUUAGUCAUACAAUACCAUGAUUUUUUUUUAUCAUUCCAUACUAUGACAUUUUUUUUAUCAUACUAUACUUUUACAUUUUUAUCAUACUAUAUGAUGACAUAUUUAUCAUACUAAACUUUGACAUUUUUAUCAUACUAUACUAUAACAUUUUUUUUAUCAUACUUUACUUUGACAUACUGUUAACACACAAUACUAUGACAUUUUUUUUUUUAUCAUACUUUAAUUAUUUUUUCAUACCAUACUUGGACAUAUUUUUUCAUAUUUUACGAUGACAUUUUUAAUCAUACUACACUAUGACAUUUUUAUCAGCACAUGUACUUUUAAAGUCCAGAUUCAGUCUGAGUCUGGACGUAAACAGGCUUCUUUUUCUUCUUCUUGUUCUUGUUCUUCUUCUUGUUCUCCUUCUUCUUCUUCUUCUGAUUUAAGAAUGUGGCAACGCUGAACAACACCAGAACAACAAGAUGAAAACUCCACCUGAGACUCAGCAGAGCGCAGGGGAAUGCACGGUAGUCAGCCGGAUUUUAACUGCCUGCUGAGGAAAUGUAAAAGAUUUUAUUGGUGUUUAAAAGAAGAUGGGCUGAAUGAGAGCCCAUUGUGUGCAGGCCUGCAGAGGAGUGGGGGUGUUUUUUUUUUUUUUUUUGGAGUGGAGGAUUGUACAUGGUGCGAGGAGCUUUGAAACACAGGGGUUCAGGAUCAGUCUCUUCAGCUGUAAAAGAAACAUGAAGGCCAAAGCCGCCAUAAAAAGCGGCCUCCUGCCACACGGCGCUGUUUAUACUAACACCUUUUAUGUAAAGUCACCAAACAAUAAGCGAUGGUAUUUCGACUGUUCCAGAAGUUAUACUGUUCCCACUUCAAAGCAGGGGGAAAAUUUGUCCUGAGGAAAUUAAUCGCCUAGUCAUAAAUGUUCGGCAUUUAUGCUUCUCGGUUAUAAGCUGGCGGUGGUUUAUGAGUUUGCCUGUAAAAGCACAAAGAGGUUUCAGGUUGGCAAAGCAGAAAAAUGCCUUACUCAUUCAUCCUCUGGACCACUGCCUGUGCUGAAGGAUUUUCCACAGUGACGGCGUGCAGCGGCCUCCUGACCUCGCUCACUUACAACAGUACUGUAUGUUUUAAAGUGAAGAUAUUACGAUGGCUGCAGCUUUUUCACUCCGCCUGUGAUGGAUAACUGCGUAUAUUUUCAGCCCUUACUUUGGCGUCGUUCCUCAGGUGAAGGGUGUGUGAUAGAAACAUUACAUAAAGGAUCGGUUAUUGUUCUUACAGGAAAACCAUGAAACAUGUUUUAAAAUAGCCUGUAUGUGCUUUGACACGUCCCGGUGUGUACAGAAGAGUCAAUGACAUGUAUUUAGAGCUGACCUGAGGUUAUGAAUAUGUGCAAUGACAGGAAAUAACAAUCCAUGCCCUGCAGUCAUUACAGGUGUGUCAUUAUGGCGGUUUGAGGUCCGUAAGUGGAAUGAAACUUCAAACGAGGCCUCCAUGCUGUUCCACCUCCACCUGCUGUUGAAUUUGAACCCUGAUUGGCCUCGAUUUGGAUCAUCGGUUAAGCGACUUGUUGAGACACCUUCGGUGUUUACCCGUUGCACCACAUGUUUUUCACACCUGAUCUAUUUUGGUCUGUGAGUUUUGUAAUCCAGAGUGAAUGAAAAAAGACAAAGACACUUCUGAUUACGCCACCUCUCAUCUUACAAAUCCACUUUUCACCUUUUCAUUUGCCAGUCUGGGGGUAACCGUGCAAGAUUUUCUGCUAAAAAAACUCUUUAAACUUACUUUAUGAAAACCAUCAUUUCAGCCUCUGCCUGAGACACUUUGUUUGGAAAGUUCAACACAGCUUAAAGGGAUAUUCCGGGGUUAGAUUAAUUCAGGGUCAAACACACUAUAACACCGAGUUAGACCCCCCCUCAAGAGAUGAAUGUUGUCGACUGCUUGCUUCUCUAGUUAUACCAACUUUAGUAACGACCGCAGGAUAGCAAUACAGAGAGCCACGCGCUCAACCAAAACGCCACUCUAUAGCCACAAAUAAUGCUCAGAACAGCACCUAACUUCAUCAACAGGACAUAUAGGUCACAGACAUAGUACUAGCCCAGAGCUGGCCCAAGGCAUAAGCGAACUAAGCGCUUGCUUAGGGCCCCGCGGCCAGUAGGGGGCCCCCAAGAGCAAAAAAAAGAAAAAAAUGGAAACCUUUUUAUUUUUUGCAUGUAUGAGUGAUGCUUUCUGUCUGAUCAAAUAUAUAUUAUUGUAAAAAUAAAAUAAAGUAAAAACGUUUUAGUGCUUCUGAUGUAGUCCUACGAUUCUUACCGCCGAUAUGUCAAAGCUCUGCUUCCGUUAUGUUCCUCCUGCUGUGUGAUGUGCACUGAGCGUCCUGAAUGUGUUACAUUUUGAGAUUAAAAACCAUAAAUGGCCCCCUGAACAUCAUUCAUCAGUCAUUCAUUGGUAUUAUUUGCAUGGUUGCGUUGGUGUUAUUUAUGUUAUUACCUAGGCCACCCCCUUAGAUGUGUAAAGACAUGUCAGGUGCAUCAAAUUUAUACUGUAGUAGGUGUGUGAAUGAUCAACAAUCAAUAUUAUUGGCAGAAAUAGAGGGCCCCCAUUGACUUUGACUAAUUUCUUUAGUAAAGAGACUAAACACGACUCACCUACUCUCUUCCAGCAGACGUUUGUUUGUAGGGAAACCUCAGGCCAGUCCAUUACGGACUACAGCGGGGUGCCACAGCUCAAGGAAGAACAUUUAUGAUCGAGUGGCGUUUUAGAUGAGACCCUAAAUAAAUUUUACGCUGGAAUAUCCCUUUAAGGAUGUUACUUUUUUACACAGUUUUACAGUUUAAAAAUGACCCAAAAGUUAUAUUUAAGCACUUUGUUUACAUUAUAAAAGAGCAAAGAGAGACCAUUAGAUAGAUUAAAUUAGCAGAUCGAGCGACCUUAAGGCGCUUUAUUUCCAUUUUAACUCCUGUAAGAGCAUCUGGAGAGUCCUCUGUACACAGCUGCGGUGUUAGAGUUGGCAUCCUCCAGAGUUUGUUUUUCACUGAAAGAGCGUUUUGUUGUUUUAUCUGCCACACAGGGAUUCAAGAGGGCACUUAUGUGGUAUUUGGGCAUGACAUGAGGGUAUCAAGGAGGGGUGGAUCGCCCUCCACGCCUCCACUCUGAGUUCAUCCAUCUCUCCUGCAGGCUGAGUGGAUCUGCUUCACCAUAUAGAGACAUUAGGGACCCAAAAAUGUCAACAUACUCCAUGUUGACCUUCGGAGUCCAGCGGUAUGUACAUGCACGACAUACCUUGUGUGGAGCAGAGUGCUUAUCUCUCCGUGUUGCUGGGUGGAAACCCUCUUUAUUUGUCCGUGUGCUUGUCUGUAGUCAAGCAGCAGCGUUGACUGUUUAUGAAUAUUCUCCCGAUCAUAAUUUAUCAGUUUUCAGAUUCUCAUGUGACUUCAGAUGAGCUGGGUGUCCUUUCCCUUUCUGUACAUUUCUGUGUUUACUCUCAGAAAGUCACUGAAACACUUGCAGAUCGAGCCGUAUGGGCGUUACCUAAACUCAGGGGAUAGCUGACAACAUGUGCGAACAUGUCCUGUUACAGAACAGAGAGAUCCCAGGUGAUGUCCUCAUGGACAAACACAUGACUCACUCACGUCCAUGUGAUUGUCCCUCUGACAAUGCAAAAUAGUCAUUAAGAUGAAGAGCACAUCGCUGCAGCGCUGUGAGUGUUUGUGAUGGAUUUCUCUAUGGGAACUGCUAAUGUCUGUAUUAUACAGGAGGGAGUAUAAAGGCUGAUAAAUGACCCUCCAUGUAAUGUCAACAUACUUUAUCACAGAUGAUUCAUUUUAAAGCUUCCAGGCCCACUGCGUUUUGUCACCAUGACGCGCAGUACCGACCAUAACCUGACGACAUGUACAGUGUGAUGUUAUUCAGGUUAGAGGCCGUCCAGGUGUUUUCUUUACGGCUUAAAGGAGGGUAGCCUCAUUACAGGUGCUGCUCAGAUGCCGGCCCCGGAGCUGAAUGUGCACCAUGAUGUCACUCUGCAGGGCUUUUCCAUGACCUGAACCAGCUCCAAGAACAGGAGGGAGUCAGAGGGGCUGAAGUACAGCUGCAAAGUUACUCAUACCGUAAUAAUUCAUGGCAGGAGAUAAAAAAUGAGAUUCCAGUGAAGAUUCACAACGCGCGAUCAAAACACGACGACUGCGAGUUAAAAAAGUCGUAGAGCGGAUCGGAUUCAGUCAUAGCUGUUAUGGUUUCACAGACACAGGGGAGAAAUCGAACAGCAAAAGUUUGAGAGGUUGUCAUCAGCGUCAUGAAUCUUUAUAAGAGAAACUACUGUUUAUGAAGGAAGGCGGACAGGCGGACACGCUUCAGACAUUUAAACUCGAGACGCUCGGUUCUCAUAUAAGACAGACUCAACAAUCUGAGGCUGAAGAUGUGCUUCAUCCUGUUAAAGAGCCACUCCGAUGAAAAUCAUGUUUUUAUGUUGUCUACGUGUUCGUUUUUCUGAUGCUACAGGACACAUCAAGAGAAAAAUAAGUGUGAAAUUGAAUUUCUGAGUUUUUCCAAAUCUCCGUGAAUCUCUCACAGACCUGAACGGCAGGUUAAGAUGUAGUGAGAUUUCCUACAUCACAAAUCCAAGCUCCGCCCCCUGAGCCCCGCUAUGACUAGACUCAGAGAAGUAGAGAGGAUGAUCAUGGAACGAGUGUGUGCGUUAGCGGAUCGUAAGGCUCGUGAGAAAGCUAAUUAUGAUAUUAACUUUCAUCUUGUCCCCAAAGACGUUAGUGUCUGCGAGCUGAGUAGUUCCUAUUUUACCCGUUUCUUCUACGACACCGGCAAUGUUAGGCUGCAAGCUAACAACGUGAAGAGGAGUGUGCAGAGCAGCGCUGUCUCCGCCCACGACUUAGAAUUGCUAAAGAGCUACUGCAGCUCUGCAGAAGAAAAACACUUAAAAAAGGCACAGGCAACGUGAUUUUAGUGCUACGCUCCUCUAGCUGAGCACCAGGAAGUAACACAAACAAACAAGGAGGAGUUUCAGAGUGUGAAUAUUUGUUUAACAAAAAUCAGGUAAUGAGCAAAAGGGAAGGAAAGGUGGGAGGGAGAGCAGACUGUGUGGAGAAGAGUGGAAAAUAAAUGAACUUAAGACAACAGAACAGGGCCUAACUGACUGGCUAAGAAAAGUCUCUCAAAACGUACACUGAUGGCACCAACCCAUAACCUAGUGUGCUUUACAAAAGUGUGACUAAGUGUUGUACAAUGUAAAGGGUACCCCACCCUACCUCAGUCUUAACCGCCUCAAGUGUCUUUACUUAGUAUAAUUCAAAUAUUGCAAGGCGGAGUCAAAGUCAGCUGUGAGAGAAGGACCAGAGCAGACAGAGGAAGAGGCUUUUAAAGAUGGCUCCCCUCUAACGAGCCCGGUGAAGGUUAACCAGCUCCCAAUCACAUCCUCUCCACAUGUCACAUGGAAGAGCAUGCAGCCAUCUUGUUCUCAGACUAAAAACUUAAUAAUCACAAUUUAAAGACCACUGAGAACACCUAAAGUAGUGAAAAAAACAAACAAAGUGAGAAUUUAAGGUCAAAACUUUCUCCAAAAUACCCUGAAUAUGUGCGGUUGGUUAAAUGUGGCGUAAAUGGUUUGCAGUCUAACCAGCUAAUUAGGACCUGGAAUGACGAUGGUGUUGACAAUGUCUAGAGCCAAUUAAAACCAUCGAUUAUGUGUAGUGUAAUCUGAAUUAUAUGACCUCAGAUUUCUUGAUUUCUCCCCUCCUUACUGACUGUUUUCCAGCCUACGGUCUGAGUUGACGGUGGAGCUACAAAACCAGAAAAAUACAGACCUGAUGCAGAAAUCUGUGACAGGAAAUUACACAGAGUCAGACUAAAACAGCUUGAUUAGUAAAAGGGAUCAUUUUUAUUCCUUAAUUCAGAUUAGCUAACAGUCAGGCUUUGUUUAUCUGGGCACCUUACAGUGUGACUUUAAGAGUCAGACAUCCCAAAUAUAUCCUCUGUUGUUGCGAUGACAAGCCCUUCCUCUAUCAGACUGUCGGACCCGUCUUGGGUUUCCUCCUCCUCAUCAUUAAGUCCCUGGAGAAAAAUCGAAGCAGACUCUCGUUAGAUGGCCCACACGUCUGUAAACUAUUAAGCCUUCAUGGAGGAAACCAGCCUAUUAUUCUGAAUCACAUCGACACAGAUUGUAUUUCCUUGUCUUGUUGGGCUGCUCCUCGGCACGACUCCGACCCCAUGUGUCCUUGAUUAUCACGCCUCUUCUGGUUAAUCAAGCUCCCAUUUUUCUUUGACCUGUCCUUACUUCUUUAAACCUGGUUAUCCUCCAAAGAUAGGAACGAACCCUUUAGUCGACUGGGAGAUUACAUUGAAUAUUUCAGAGGGCGGUUCAUCCUGCAUUAAGCUGCAGAAUCUAAAUCAUUGAAUUAAAGAGAGCUGUGAUUAACUGCAGUAUUCGAGCAGAGACGUGUAGCUUACCGGAAAACAGCAUCAGGAAGGACAUCCGCGAAACUAAUCAACCUUAAACCGCAGAGCCCCCCUAAGUGGCCAGAUUCACAUUUCCUCACGCUUGGGAUCACCCCAGUCAGAUCCUGUAUCUAAGAGGGGCAAAGACCAAUAAUCGGGCUUUAAGUCGUCUUUAUUGAGCAUGAAUUAAUUUCCAGGACCCCCCACAUAUAACCUGACCAAGAUGGACGUUUAAUGGCUUAAUGAUGGAGCGAUUAAUCCGCCUAAGAGCUUCUUUUCUGUAACCCACAUUGGGUUGGGUUUCCGAAUAUCAGCUUCUUUGACCGCCGCAAAUAUUAAAGAGUCUUUUGAGUCUGUGCAGCUCAUCACAAAUACGGUGAAACCAGCCUUCAUGAACAUUUGGAGUCAAGUAUCUCAACAUUUACUGAACGGUGUGGAGUUGUUUUUGGUGCAGAUGUUCAUAAUUCACAGUUUUUAACUCCUGACGAUUACGGGCCUCCAGAUAAAACUUUCAGAGCCACUUUGAGGUCAAAACUGCCGCGGCAAUCGUCAAUGAAUUUUCAUUGAAUUUGGUCAAAUUUACGUUAAAUGUAAAGCUUAGUCAUGCCUCCCUUAAACAUGAUAAUUUAUAGUUUAUGUCGAUCUAUAACAACCCCACCACCUCCUCAACGGUCAAAACAUUAUGUUUCUUCUAAUUUUGGUGAAAUUAUUCAUCAUCCUCUGAGUAUUUCAAACACUCAGUGGGUUCAUCCUUCAUUAUCACAAGAGGAUGUACUCUACCAACUCUGGAAAAAAACACCACAGUGGUUUUCUCCUGCACCACCUCCUACAGGUCAAAGUUCUUCCUCAGCUGGUCAUAUUAAAUCACUCUCACAGUUUAACUAUAUUUAGUGGUUUAAAUUCAGUAAAAAUACUCCACAUUCGCACAUGUUGUUCCUGCGUUUUUGCACGCAGAUGUCGACGUCUGACUCUCGGUAAACGAGGCCGCCGUAGACUCUGGUUUCAGCAUCUGUUCCUGCACAGAUGUGAGUGAAAUAUCUCCUGUAUAUUUAAACAUGAUGUUGGAGAAUGUAAUCCUGCGUGGCAGACAGGUGUGUGCAGGACUUAGUCUGCAUUUCCACUUCCACAUUAGCUUAUCGAGUCAACAACAAUGCCGCAAUCUGUUCCUGAAAAUAGACAUUUCCUGGAAUCUGUCCGCUCGGUAUCUCAGAUUGGGAUGUGGGGGGGGGGGUUCUGCUGGGAGGGGUUUGAGUGGGAUCAGAGACGGAUUAGAGGACGCUGUAAUUUACUGACUGGAGCUUCCCAUCAUCACUGCCUCUUUAACGGGUCAUCCCCCUCAGGCCGACAAACCCAAACUCUCAGAUUUUAGAAUCUGUCCUCUCUCUCUCCUUCACAGGUCGUCCCUCAGGAGAAAUGAAGCCUUCAGCUCAUCAGGGUCCAGAGAUGUUUCACCUUCCAGUCUGGGCGCUCCUCACCUGACUCCAGACAAGGUCCAGAUGGUUUUCCUGACUGUUUGAUGGAUGUUUUAUGACCUGAAAGAAUCCACACGCCUCAUAAGAAAGGCAAAGAUUAGUGUUUGUAAAUGAGAAACCGUCGCCAAGCAGUUUUCAGCAAAUACCUUUAAUGGUUUAUUUUGGCGCUGGCGCUGCAGGUACUCGCUGGGACGGAUGUUUACACAUAUGAAAGUCAGUUUACUUCAGUCUGAGAGUUUAAGCAGAUUACAUUUAUUAAAACCGUGGAACAACCCUCAUGUCUGUUUGAGGUUACUCUUCUUCCUGCUGCAGAUGUGAGCGGUUGUGCAGAGAAACUGUCAGUUUGUUUCUCUCCUCGUCCUCGUUUACAUGCAGCUGAGAAAAUCAAAUUAUUGACGUGAACGUGUCCUCCUCCCCAAAACUAGGGGGCGAUAUGGGUCUUUUCAGAAGAUGGAGCAUCGUACAGCGUUGUUUUUGUCCUAUAUGAUGGACGCGCUACUUUUUCUAAAGAUGAGACCAACGCUACUCCUCUACUCUGGGGGUUUUGUUCAGGGGUUACGGGGGCGUGGCAUGCUCACAUGCAUUGUCCAUCUUACUCCGACUACGCUGGUUACAUGGUAGAGAAAAUUGAAUUCCAAUCACAUUAUCUGGGUGUCUUAAUCAGAGUUCUCAAACUCUGAUUAAGGUGUUUAUGUGCACUUCAGUUGUCUGGUCUUAAUCGGAAUAAGGCGAUAAUUCGGUUUUAUCCAGUGUCAUGUAAACGUACUGAAUGAAAGCACCCGGGCCGAAUCUGUGCCGUACAAUCCCGACAAACAAACGAUAUUGCAAGAACGGGAACAUCACCGUUAAGAUAGCUGCUGUUACCUGGGAUUUCCACCGUUCCUCCAAUCCGAAACGAUUUUCUGAGGCGCAUUUCGUGGCAGAUUAUGGACAUAAUUUUCGUGGCUGACUACGGAGAGAAGGAAUCCCUAGAACUCUAUGAUUUCCAAUUCUUCGUUGAAAGGACAACUGGACUUACUUGAGAUGUUUCGCCUAAAGGUGAAACGUCUCCAAAAGAGCGUUACCCCCAAUUUCCACCACAUCAGGAACAGCUGCGAUAUUCCCCUUCUGCCAAUUCCUACCAGAUCUGUUGGUCAGGCGAUGUUUCGUGGUGGAUUACGGACAUCAGGAAUCACGAGAACUCACAAGAACCCGCAGAUUCACGUUCAAUUGCGCAAUAACAAGUUGUGUCUAAAAAGACAGACACAUAGACAUAUAAGCAGUAGAUUGUGUCCUUCCAGAGGAGGAAAUCUACUUCUAGACUUCUAGAAUCAGCAUCUCCUCAUCCAUGGUGUCAUCGGGGUGAAAUGACGUCUAAAAACCUUUCACUUGAGUGUUUUAUUUUGUGUCUGUGCCCGACUUAAAAAAAUAGAACUCUUGUGGAGUGUAAAGAAGCCGGUGGAAAUUGAGACUUGAAUGGUUACGAUCAGCUACGAUCGACAUAUACGACCUUUACAUAGCCGUUCCGAUUGCGGUUGAAAUUGGGUGUUAGAGUAAACCCGCCGCUGCUCCAGAGACUCCUGAGGCUCUUCUUCCCCGACCCAACACCCGGGCUGGAGUCUGAGCUUAUACAGGUCCGCCCUGCAGGAUGUCUGGAUCCACGUGGAGAGCCACCCAGGUCUGUGUAUUGUUGUGAGGAAUGUGGUGUUAAGAAAAACGCCACUUUAUACGUGUGGAGAAAUCACACUGUGAACUCUCAUACCUGACUUCAGCGAGCACAGAGAGGAGAUUAAGGAAAAGCUCCAUCUUUGUUUGGUCUGUGCGCUCCGUCCCUCUAUUCAAACCUGUUUUGUUUUUUUUCUUAAAGCCCCUCCCCCUCCUCCUCCUCCUCGCAGAGAAAUCCACGGGGGUUUUGACCAUCCCACCUGCAGAGAGAAUAAUAUCCUAAAUCCAUAUUAGUGCUCUUUCCCAAAAGCUUUGGUCAACAGAUGGUUUACCCAAAUCCCCCGGACUCCCAUCCAAACCCCCCCUGUCCCAUUUGACUCUGAGCUUGGACAUGUGUUCGCAGGGUCCUGUUAUGAAAAAGGAGAUUCCACGAUCCGCUCCUGACUGUUGUUUAUGUGUUUAUUUAUCGGCAACGCUUCGUACGAGACGGAGCGAACGUCGAAGAGGGUCUGUCCGGGUCGGUCUAAUCCAGCUCGCCGUGUUUAAUCCUGAAUUUUGACGGUCCCGUCUCUAAAAAAAGACGUCUUUCCAUCAGGUGUGCUGCUCAGUCUGAAUUUCCUGUAAUCAACAUGUUUUGAUUCACACUUCACUGGUGAUUUUUCUCAGCUGGCUAUGAGAUAAGCAGCGAGGAUUGCUGUGCCAGAACCAAUUAGGGCUAACCCGGCGCUGUUCAGGAAGUGUCCCUGCUGCUGGCUUUUGCAGAGUUCGGUCAUUAAGCCCCAACAGGAGUGGCUGCUUAAUUGUAAUCCUUGUGCGCUGGAACAACAGCAACACUGUGGAGAACCCAGUCCAGACCCCCCCCCCCAGUAAACAAGUUAGUUCAAGCUGCUCGUCAUGCAUCCAGGGGCCCCGCAGCUCACAAUCAGAGCCAAUCAGGAGUCAGGGUUGACAUGAGUUUUACCUGUGAGAGGAGGAGACGUAUCUGAGGUUUGUACUGGUGUGUCAGACUGAUGCUGUGUGCUGCAGCGAGUGGGUCAAAGUUUGGACCAAUCAGACGCCUCUCGACUGAUGAGGAUGAAGCAGUUCUCUCUGCACACGUCGAACCUGAUACUCCGCAGGAAAAGGAGGAAAAGGAUGAAUUUUUUUAUCCUGUUUGUCAAAAAAUGUCAAUAAACAUCAAAUAUUUCCUGCAGCCGUAGCAACCACGCUCGUUUUCUUCUUCACUCUUGAAUCGUUUUAUUUUAGGGUCUCAUGAUAAAUCCAAACUCAAAUCACAAAUACUGUGUUCUUGGUAUUCAGGCGAUUCAACAGCAAUUCUGUUUAAAGGGACAGUUCGUGAAAUUACUUCUUCAUAUGUCACUGAACAAUGGAGCUGUUGGUCUAACCCCCAAUUUACACCUUCAUCCUGAUCGUCUCCUAAAAGGUCGUAUCCUCCGAUCGUAGCUGAUCGUAACCAUUCAAGUUAACGUGUCAAUUUACACCGACUUCUUUCCGUUCCUCUGCGGAUCGCCAGACUCCUCAGCUGAUCACAAGAGUUCUAUUUUUUCUGGACGCCGGAGCAUGGCGGAUAAAUUCAGCACAGAUUAACCCGUGCUGGAAAGGAAGUCGGGCACAGACACAAAAUAAAACAUCCGGCUUCUUUUCAAAAUAAAACACUCCGUGUUUCAGGAGGAUCGUAUUUCACACCAUGCAAACGGGCGGAGACGAACAAGUGAAAGGUUUUUAGACGUCAUUUCACCCCGAUGACACCAUGGAUGAGGAGAUGCUGAUUCUAGAAGUCUAGAAGUAGAUUUCCUCCUCUGGAAGGACACAAUCUACUGCUUAUAUAGUUAGCCUAUGUGGCUAAAGACAACAAAGUUCUCGUGAUUCCUGCUGUCCGUAAUCCACAAAGAAAGUUGCCUCACCAACGGAUCCAUAAGGAAUUGGCGGACCAUUUGGUAGCCGUUCCGGAUGCGGUGGGAAUCGGGGGUUAGUAAAGUCUGCUCAAUAAUCGGCAGUUUCUGAAAUUGGUUGUUCAUAAGUCAGAGAACACAGGAGUUGUUGGUCUCCUGCUGCCUCCUCUCGAAGUCUUGUAUUGAAGGAAGAUUUUUGUUGUUGUUUGCGUGACCUUUUCCCCAGAUGGUUUCAGACUAGCAGAAGCUGUCAGAAACAAACUUAAAAAACCUUAAGAUGAUGGACUUUCUGAGGCGAUUUAAAGAUUUUUUGUUCCUAUAAAGUUCGUAAAAGUCUCCCGGGUUCAUGAAUUCUCCUCUGAAGUCUAACCUGUAAUAUCUAAGCCCUGCUUCCUCCGCUGUAAUCCUCCAUCACACUUGUGUUUCCAUUUGUGUUUUCUUGCCGUAAAUGAGGCAGUACAGUAUUUUUUGUUAAAACUUGCCUCAGGAAUGUUGCAUGCUUGUUUUGCAGUCUUGAUCCAUUCUGCGGAGUCCUAUUUGUGCGUUCGAGGGAGGAAUGCCAGGAAUGGCGGCGUUGCAACACAGACACAUAACAUGGGACAUGCCAGGCAAUAAAUGAGAGACUGAUUGAUGCGCCAAAGUCGCUAUUAAAGAGUGUUGACGGCGUUCUUUAUUUAGCUGCUGACCGUGGCCAGAGGUUGCAAAAACACAGCAGAUAAUAUUUGGAGAUAUCAGCAAAAUUAAAGAUGGUUUCAGUCAGUGAGGCGGUUUUUAAUCAGCAGGAGGAAACAAAAAGAAGAGCAGGGAAGUUAUCUGCUGUCGAGUUUCUUCUUCCUCCGCCUCAAAACUCAAAUCUGAGUCUUUUUCUUCUUUUAUUUUAAAGUCACAGUUUUAAUUCAAGAUUUUAAAAACCAGAAAUAAGAACGUGACUGAAUGUUAGAGGUAAGAAACUGGAAUGAAACAACAACAAAUGUGACGGUCAAGUUUGUAGAAAUAAGAGGAAAGGUUUGAUUAAACUUGAUGAGCAGAUAUAUAUCCUUAAUUUUAUUUAUUAUCCGACGUUCAGGUCUUUUCUUCUGCAGCUGGUAUCUUUGAAUAAGACCGAAUCUCUUAUCAGGACUCUCUGUGUUGUUUCCAGUUUGUGUCUCUGAGCUUCAUGAACGUCUUUAUAGGAGAAUAUCUCCAGGUUUCAGUAACGGCAGAGACUCAAAUCCAGCUCUUAUUGGUCAUCAGUGAAGUGGCGAGUACAAACAGCUGAUAUGUGGCCGAAGUUUUCCUGAAAACACUUGACUCUGUUUUCUGAAGUCUUUGGUGAUAAAAAUGUCUUUAAUUUCAACUUCACAAAACUCUCCUGAGAGAAACUUUCUGGUGGUGAUGGAAGAACCGUUCUUUUGACUGAGCUGAAUCUUUAGAAUCUGUUUAUUAAAACGAUUCAUUCAAAAGAUUCGUUCACUAAAUCAGUCAGUGCUUUGGAGUCCCGCACACGAAUGAGUGACACAGCGGCGCUGAUCAGGAGUUUGUUCAUUGAAUGAGCUCUUCCUCUCCUCUGCUGCUGAAGUCACAGCGAGCGACACAUGUCGUUCAUUCGCCAAGUCCUGAAGGAAGAAUCUCUCCACUGCCCUGAACAACUCACCUCUCUGUGUGUCGCCAUCGACAGAACAACACAGCAACGAUUAUCACGCCGCUAAACGAGCGCGAGGUGUCGUUCUUUUAUAUCGCGGAAAAGUGGAGAGAUUAAAAAUAAAUAAACAUGUCAGCUGUAGCGGCGAUUCAGAUACUUUUAAAGAUAUCAAAUAUUGUAUUUCUUUAAAUGGGCUCAGGCACGAUAAUGACCUGUUUCAUCUCAGCCUGUAUUUGUGAGUUUGUGAAUGCUGCUACGCCCCUCCCUCCUCUGCCUGUCCCAAGUCGUUCAGAAGUCGUUCAUUUCGUUUACAGUCUGACUGAUCAGUUCCACUCCAAUCGGCACGCCACGCUCACGGCUGAGCUCAACUGAACUGAGAAAAGAACCAAUCAGGUCUCGGAGUGAUUCAGUUCAUGUCGUUCACUCAGCAGUUCGGUUCUUUUGAACGAAUCGUUCAUGAACGACACAACACGACUUUCUGGGACAAAGACCUAGAAGUGACGACAUCCUCAUGUCCCAAACUUCGCUGUGUUUUUAUCAUCCAAACACUGUAACAUGGUGAGUGUAUUAAUGUUCCUUUAAGUCAAAUAAACACAAACUUAUUCUCCAAACCGCCUCUUUGAAGAAAACCUGUUUGUGAUCCGUCUGUCGUUGAUCUGAAUCCUCCUGACAGGACUUUGGUGUGUCAUUCUAAGCUCCAUCAGGGUAACUCAGCGCCGGUCUGAGGCAAGCCUGAGCCAGCCCUGACUCUAAGCUUUCAUGAAAAGGAAAGUAAGCUGACACUGGCUGUUCUCCUCUGUGCUGCGGUGUAAAUGUAGUUUAUAUUGUUCCCCGGAGCUUUUGAAACAGGCAGCAUCUUAUCUGAUUUCUGUGUGUGUCAGUUUCCCAGAGCAUCAGAGGCCCGCUGCAUUAUGCGCUGUAAUUUGUUGUUGUAUAACAUGUAUCUAUACAUGUGCACUGAUACGAUUGUGUAAGUGCAUGUGUACCGAUUGUAUACUAACCAUUCAGAGCGUCAUAUAACACUGUCGGUGCGCUUUGUUUGACAUCUCUGCGGGUUCAGCGUGAGCAUGCACAAAGCGGCCGGUUCUGUACAUUACCGUGCAUGUGAACCUGAUCCGUUUGAUCUGUGACAGGAGAUGUUAACACAGCGUGGGGGCGUGACGCUCCUACUGUACCUGUCAGCCUGCAGUGUCACCUCACGGUGGCCUGUGCAUCCAAAGUUAGCACGCGAUCCUGUGUCAGCCGCUGUCAAGACGCUGCAGGUGCUUUCUGCAGCAGCUUUCCCACACUAAAGGGCACUGGAGGGCAUGGACACCUUAGCUCUCUAUUCAGCCCGCACACUGCACAGGGCGGGCGGGCAGGGCCGGGCCCCUCCCCUUUCAAUAGCAUAGGGCCGCUCCUCUCCCGGUAGCCCAACAAAGGGCACUGCUAUCACAAACCAGGGCGGGGACCCGCCGAGGGCUCAUAAAAGACCCUGUCACUUUGACACAGGCAAUCAGAGAGCUCGCCUUUAUGAAAACCAUAGAGAGAAAAAAAUAUCGGCCUUUCUCCCAGCCUCGCUCGCUCUCUCUCUGGUCCUGAAUUCCUCCCUUCACUUUGUGUGCUGGCUCACCUGUACCUGAUGUGACAUGUUGGAGGAGUCCGACGGAAACAGCAGGAGUUUGAGAAUACAUGAUCCACAUUUUAUCUUUUAGGCUUUUUGUUUUUUAGUUUUUUAAUCUGGUCCUCCAAUCAGGUUUUUGCUUUCCAACUACAAACUUAUCGAUCAUGACCGCCGAUAAAUUAAAGUUUAGGGCAGCCUCCUCAGUCCUCCAAGAUUUGACAGUGAAAUGACCUGACAGAGAAACUGCGAAUCAGUACGUUUACAAAACCGAAUUAUCGCCUUAUUCCGAUUAAGACCGGACGACUGAAGGUCAUGUAAACACCUUAGUCCGACUAUAACUUGAGUUUGAGAACUCUGAUUAAGACACCCAGAUAAUGUGAUUAGAAUUAGAUUUUCUCUUCCAUGUAACCAGCGUAGUCGGAGUAUGAUCGGACAAUGCAUGUGCGCCACGCCCCCGUAACCCCGUAACAAAACCCCCAGAGUAGAGGAGUAGCGUUGGUCUCAUCUUUAGAAAAAGUAGCGCGUCCAUCAUGUCGGACAAAAACAACGCUGUACGAUGCUCCAUCUUCUUGUUUCUCCAAAAUGCCCAGCAGCAGUUGUAGACACUUCUGACGUCUGACACCGACCUGCUGUUGUUGUUGACAGUUGUACGGGGUCGGAAACAGCGCCGCUGAAAAGACCCAUAUCGCCCCCUAGUGUUGGGGAGGAGGACACGUUCAUGUCACUUUUUCCAUUGCGUGCAUACGUGGUCAAGGAGAGAAGUCAGAUUUCAGUGAAAAAAAAAAACGAAUUAUGAGUUUAGUCCGAUGUCAAACUUCUGAUUGGCCAAUGAAGGAACAGUAUCUGCAGUGAUGAUGAUCCCACCUCUAUUAAGAGGGUCUCCAUGAUCCAAGUCCAGUCAAAGAUGUAAUCCAAAAACAUCAUAUCGAGCUGAAGUUGUCUGUGGUCUGGACUUGUUUGGUGAUUCUGAGUCUGAUCACUUUCUGUUUAUUUGAGGAGGAUCGAUGGAGCUCUCAGUUACAGUCAUAAAACAGCUCCAGUCUUGUUUUCCAGGAUCCUUGAGCUCAAUGACCUCCUAGUUUCAGACCUGCUGCUUUGGUCUUAUGUGUUUUUGCACAUUCAGUGUCGGGUCUGUGUCGGUGCAAAAGCAGCUUUUGGUUUGAUCCAGUAGGCGUGUUGGAGUUUAAGGCGAUUGAUUGAUGGGAAAACUGAGAUGACUUUGAAGAGGAGAGAAGUACAGAAGCUGCAGAAAGAGAGCUUUAUGGUCAACUCUGCAAAAAAACCCUUUUCCUCAAACGUCGUAUUGUCUGAUUUCUGACUAAUUUCAGGUCCAGAUAAAGAUUUGAGUCUGAUGUGACUCAGAGUCCUAAACUGCGACUGUAGCAGCUGAAUAAUCAGGAUCUGAUAUUGACUCUGAUGUCUGUUUAAUGAGCUGUUUUGUAUCAGAGAUCAGGACCGGUGUGCACUUGUGCUCAUGAAAGAGCCCGUAUUGUUCCUUUAACUCUGACAUGCCUCUAAAGAGGAGCAGGUGAAAGUAUGUCAGGUAUUGUGUUUUGGUUUUGUGCUCCACAAUAGCAGGAUAAUGAGAUGAUGUGAUCGAGCAGAGCUGCUUUAUGCUCGGGCCUUUGUAACCCACAAAGUACUCCCUGAACAUCGACCGGGAUAAGCUUCUGCGAUUUUUUAAUUGACAUGACCUAAAUUGUGCCAUAAGGAGGAUUUUGCUCCGUAAAUAUUGAGUUUCCACUCGUACCAAGAAGGCAGACAAUAUGUUCAUUCUCCCCCAAAACCUUCACUUUUCUUUCUAAAAGGAAAAUCUGAUGAUUAUUUCGCUCUCUCAAACCCCGUUAGGAAUUCAUAAAUACACCGAUUAAUAAUUCCAUUGUGAGGAAUUUGGCACGGGGAACGUUAACAUGCUUAUUUCCAGUGUUGCAAUAAAAAUCAUGCAGACCAGACUUCAUAAAACCCUCACAAAGUGCCACCAGCAUCAUCUGCUCCUGUAACGCACACCAGAGCGAAAACAGAACCUCCAUGCAGGCCUGUGAUAGAUUUAUGAAGAGUCAAAGCUCCGCUCCUCUUGUCUGGUCUGGAGAACGGCUCCGGUCUGGACUCAGCCUCCGUAUCUGUGCGUUGUUUCAUUGUGGACCCGGCCUUCACGUCAGGAGAGGCCGUAAAGCAGCGUCGAAAACAGCGCCUCACUGUACACGUUCAGCACUUUUGUCAUUUUCACGAGGGGAAAAUGUUUUUCUGAAAGUGCUCCCGAGGCUCCGCUGAAUGCCUCGAAUGUUGUCCGUGUCCCCUGUGGCACUGUCAUAAAAGUUACAAGACUUUUCCCCUCCCUGAUUGCUCCCUAAAUACAAACGUUGAUUCAUUUUGAUUGGCUGACAAACGUCUGAGCGGGCGCUCCCGCCGCGCGCAGCUCUUCUAAUUUAAACUGCAGCCGACUAUCUGAAGAGCGCUGUUUGCACGACGUUAACAGCUCUCAUUUAAACAUAUUAAUCUUUCAAUGCGGAGCGCUGCAGCCAGACUGAGCCAGCCGCACACUGGACACACAUUGUGUCACUUUGGGUCAAACUCAGCACCAUCAAUAAAUAAAGCUGUUGUGAACACAGUGUCGAGUUACAAACCUGCGCUGUUGCUGCAUGAAGUAGGUCAUGGUGAUCAGUAUGAAACAUGUCUUUGUUAUAUUCAGGAGAUUAAAUGCAGCUUAUUUAUGUAUGGAUGGAGUCGCCACGCCGGCGUCCAUCUGGUGAGAACAUCGAGACUAUUCCCGAGGAGACGAUAGCGCUCAUUUAUCAGUAAAGGUCAAAGUAUUAAAAGGCGGGUUUACAUCUUUACAGUCACUCAGAUCAGAGUUUUAAAAAGAUCUUUGCAGGUGAAGCUGAGAGCUAAAGAGCUUAAACAGCUUUUCACCAUAGAAGAAGAAAUUUAAUCCAAUCAUCUUUGAUGUUUUUGCACAAGAUUGUUUUUAACUCCUUGCAACAACACAUUAAAGCUACAUGGCGUCUCAGAAUUGGUCGGCGAAUGAACCGAGGGUCCAUCACGUUUGUUUUUUUAAAUAAACAAAGUUAAUUGACUUGAUUUUAAACUGGAAAAGUCUGACAUUCGUUGUUCUGUGGAGUCAAAAAAACAGGUUUCAGCCUUUGCGUCUUUCAUUGAUGGUCAGAUUUAACAAAGCCGAGUUAUCUUACAGUUCUGUCUACCUACUUCUUUUUAAAUCUUAAAUAUAGACCUGUAAAGAUAACAACUUUUGGGUUAAAUCUGGCUCUGUGUUUAUUAAAAGAAAAUUUGAAGUUUCUGAAAACUUUGAUUUCAGGUUGUCUUUGAAAACGCGUCAUUAACCCUCUGUCUCCAACACGGACAUGCAGAUAAGUGUUCAUAAAAUCAUCAUUUUUAAACUUUUUUUUUUUUUUACUUUUUUCGACUCAUAUCUCUUAAACAACUUCAGCCCUAACCAUUAAAAAAGUACUGAAUAGAAAAGUCGAAAAAAAAAAAAAAAUGACGGAGAACUACGAGUGACACAUUUUUUUUUUUAAUAUGAAGAAAAAUAAGAACUCUUACCAAAUGUGAUGCCCCAACCUUUAAAAAUUUGACUGUCAGCUCAAAAUAAAGAGGAAAAAAAACGACAAAUGUCCUAAAAAUGGACACGAUAGGAACCAAGGUUUAAGUCAUUUUUGUGAGGGUUGCAAAAACUAAAGAUUCAGGAAACACUAAUGUCCUCUCAUUGUAGAAAUUGCUGUUCCUGUUUACACUAAGAUGAGGCUCCUGGUUUGGCGAGGUGUGUUUGUUUAUCUGCAUGUUCACUCCAUCAUUAAACCACAGUGCAGCAGCGUAUUUAUUCACCUCUCCAUAUACAGUAACGAUGACUGAUCAUGAUCAUAAAUGUCCUUGUUUGAAAAUGUAAAGAGAAAAAUCAGCUCUGAAAAAAUAAACCUACAUUUGCUGAAUUUUUGCAAAAACAGUUCAGGACAUUCAGACUGAAUCAUGACUGAAAUCUCCAACACUUUUCUGUAAAAUCAAAACUAAAAUGAGUCAAAUUUAACAUUACUUUAAAGUUUGUAGAUGUGAAUGAUUUCAGGUCGGCCGUCAUAGUCUGUAGGAAAACAGGAACAGGGCAGACUGGUUAAAACAGGCGGAGAAACUGAUAUUAGAUCUGAAGUUUAUGCAAAAAUGAUAUCACACAAAGUUUCUUCAUGUCCUCCGUCAGUCAUGGAUCACAGUGAUACAGUAAACUGAUCCAUCUAAGAUGCAAUUACAAACUAAUUACAGAUUACCCCCCCAGGCCUUCACCUCCCAACCCUCCCUACCUUUCCAUAAUCCCUCCUCAAUCCUCCCCUACGGCUAAAGUCACUCCUUCAAUUAUGGGCUCCCACUCAUGUCAGCUGACGGGUGAGUGGAUUUUUAUUCACACAUACACAAUGUCAUAUUACACUCUGAGUUUGACAGACGAGUGUGUGUGUGACGCUGUGUGUGUGUGUCUCUGUGUGUGUGUGUGAUGGAGCAAAGGUGCUCACCUUGUCAUGUAUAACACUGAGUUUACGAGUGUUUACUCUGGGUCAAUUAUUGAGCUGUAACUGAUGCUGAUUGGCUCCUCUCAGAUCAUUGAUCUGGGUCCUUAUAUAUUCAGUCUACAUUAGUUAUUUUACUGGUUUAUAUGUGGUCACACACAUUUCUGCAACAAAGCCAUUUAAAGGGUUUCACAUGUGACUUUAACAGCUGAUAUUUAAAUAUGACAUUAAAAAGACGUUUAAAAAGUCAAAGCAAAGAGAAAAGCUAAAGGUUGAAGGUAAGGAGAGUUUAAAAACAAAAGGUUAAAACUUGAGAGUUUAAGACCAGCAGGUUAAAGUUAAAAAAAAGUUUAAAAACACAAGGUUAUAAAUAAAGACAGUUUAAAAACAGAGGGUUAAAGUUAAAGAAAGUUUUAAAACAGAGGGUUAAAGUUAAGAGAGUUUAAAUACAAUAGGUUAAAACUUAAGACGUUUUUAAUCAGAAGGUUAAAGUUAAGAGAGUUUCAAAAUGGAAAUUUAAAAAGUUUAAAAAAGGUUUAACAAAACACAAGGUUAAAGUUAAAAGAGUUUUAAUAAACAAUAGGUUAAACUUGAGAGAGUUUAAAACAGAAGGUUAAAGUUAAAGACAGUUUAAAAACACAAGAUUAAAGUUUAAGAAAGUUUAAAAACAGAGGGUUAAAGAUAAAAGAGUUUAAAAACAGAGAGUUAAAGUUAAAAGAGUUUAAAAACACAAGGUUAUAGUCAAAGUCUGUUUCACAACAGUGGGUUAAAGUUAAGAGAUUUUUAAAACAGAAGGUUUAGGUAUAUAGAGUUUUAAAACAGAUGGUUAAAAAUCUAAGAAAGUUUUUAAACAGAUGGUUGAAGUUAAAGAAGUUUAAAAACAGAGGGUUAAAUUCUAAAAAAAGUUUAAAAACCCAAGGUUAUAGUAAAAGACAGUUUUAAAACGGAGGGUUUAGGUUUAAGAAAGUUUAAAAACACAAGAUUAAAGUUAAGAUAGUUUAAAAAACAGCAGGUUAGAGGGACAGUUCACAGUUACAUAAUUAAAACGUUCAUAUGUUGGAAUAAUUCAGUGAAUCUCGGCUGUGAACGGGUGAGUCUUUAACUCUGAUUUAGAGGACUGAGAGUUUGAACAGACCUGAUGUUUGGUUCCAGAUGUUUGGAGCAUCAAAACGGUCUGGUUCUGACUCUGGGGACCAAACGCAGACUGGACCCAGACAGUCUGGAUGGUUUGUAGUAUAUCAGAAUAUAACUGAUGUAUGUUGGACCUGAACCAUCCAGUACUUUAUAGACCAUCAGUUCUAUUUUAAAACCUGUUGUCUGACAGACGGGGGGGCCAGUGUAGAGACCUCACACCUGGACUGAUGUGGUCCACUUUCUUGGUCUCGGUGAGGACUCUGCAAAGACGCUGUUACAGUAAUCAAGCCGACUGAAGAUAGAUGCAGGUCCUGCUGGGAUGUGAGUCUUUUAAUCCUUGAUUUAUUCUUCAGAUGAUAGCGGGCCGACUCGGUCGCUGUCUUAAGGUCGUAUUUUUAAAUUUAGGAUCUCUGAGUCGAUGACUUCAUCCUGGUUUCUUGCUUUUGGCACGUCCACUCAUCGAUUAGUUCAGUACAUGUACCAAGAGCUAACAAGGACCAUGGCCUCUUAUGUAUAACCGUGUGUCGUCUGCGUAGAUAUGAUAACUUAUUUUGUUGUUGUAUAAUCUGAGCUACUUAGAACAAAACAGGGGGCCCCAGGAAAGAGCCUUGGGGAACUCCACAUGCAGUUAUGUUGUGUUUUUCCAGACUAGAUUAAAGCACUAAAGGACUUAAAUUAGCUCUUUGAUUACACUGCUAAUAGCUGUUAGCAAAGUGUGGACAGAAAGCUCACUUUAGAGGCUAAGGGAGGAUCUUUGCAGGUGAAGCUGAGAGCUAAAGAGCUCGGACCUGAUCAGCCAAAUCAAACAGCUUUUCAACAACAGAGGAAGAAAUUAAACCCAAUCGUUUUUAAAUCAGUUUAUAGAGAAUAUUUGGUAAAUUUAAUCCUUUUUUAGGAUCUUUAGGAUCAGACCUGCAGGGACUCAGAGACUGAUUUAAAACACGAGAAAACAUGGGUGUCUGAAUUAAAAAUACUUCGCUCAGGCAGCUCAACAAAAAUCUUUAGCUUCUUUAUAUUUGUUGUUCCACCCUUUGUGGAAUGUGUACUGUAUAUUUUGGGUUUUGUUGUUGGCUAAAUAUGGAGAAAAAUGCACCAGCUGCCACAGAAUAAAACCACCACAGGCUUCACAAAGUGGGCCUAAUGACUCACGGUUCUGCAUGGCCUGUUUACAUGAGCGUGCGCUCAGUCCUGCAGACCCUGACAGAAUGUAUACAGUGAAGCAGCCACUCACACACUGCAUGUUUUGACUGCAUACUAUGUAUCCUGUCAUUGUAGAAUGUCCGCCUCAUUUUAGGCUGCAGUAGCUCACGUGCACGUACUCCAUACUCGCAGCCUGAGAGGAACAAGCUCAGAUUUCUGUUAGGUUAUUCCUGUUUCCUAGUAAGAGUCCCAGAAUAUCCUCAAGUUUGCAGAAUUGAAGGUAUCCUGCAGAAAAAGGUGAUAAAGUGAGGUGUGGAGGGGGCUAACCUGGGAUUUCCACCGCAUCAGGAACGGUGGCGAUUUUCGCCGUAUGCCAAUUCCUACUAGAUCCGUUUGUGAGGUGAAUUUCGUGGCGGAUUACGGACAGCAGGAAUCGUGAGAGCUCACAAGAACCUGUGGAUUCAUGUUCAAUCACUCGAUAACGAGUUGUCUCUCUAAAGACAGACACAUAGACAUAUAAGUAGUAGAUUGUGUCCUUUUUGUAGACGAUCAGGAUGAAGGUGGAAAUUUUGGGGUUACUGUAGCAGAGAAAGAUCUUCUUUUGCCCUUCAAUCAGUUCUUGCUUGGUGUUUGUAAACCGGGACAUGGGCAGUGGUUGAGUUAAAUUGUAUAAUUAAGCUUUUCUCAGCUUUACAUGCUAACACGCUAACUGUUAUUGACCCAUUAAAAACUUGCAAAAAUAAUGGCCGAAAAUUUGAAGGCCCUGUGAAGAGUGUCCCACCGAUUCUGUAAUAAUGAAAUUCUGCAAUAAUAAUAAUGAAACAGAAAGAAGUCGGUGUAAAUUGACACGUUAACUUGAAUGGUUACGAUCAGCUACAAUCGGCGGAUAUGACCUUUUAGGAGAUGAUCAGGAUGAAGGUGGAGAUUGGGGGUAAUGCUUUGAUUUUUCAUUAAAGCGGUUUGCAAAAACUUAAAAUUUGUUCUGUGCAACAUCUUGCACUGGAUAAGGGUUAGUGGACCUGCAGACCAAUACCAUGCAAAUGUACGAAGCCGACAUUUGUUUUCCAACUUUAGCCACUCGUCCGUCUUUUUAAAGAUCUACUUCAGUUGGAGGAACAGGAGUUUGUUCUUGCCGUGCAGUGACACUGAAGACCGGGUCGAUCGGUUCGAGUAAACGAAGCAUGUUUCAGUCUCUUGAGUGCAGAUGUAUCUCUCUCGUCUGAAGAUUAGUACCGGUGACCUCUAACCCCGAGGCUGCAGUUGCCUCCCCGUCAUGUGUCUGCACGUCAUGCUGUCCGAGGCGUGCUCCAGCUGAUGGGCUUCAACGUGAAGUUUAACCACCACCGUCAAAAACCUAAAUCCUUCAGUUACCCCGCUGACGGUUCGUCCACGUCCUCAGAGCCCGGCUUUGGAAAUCCACGGCUAAAGUACAAAACGUGGAAGAGGUCUGAUGGGGGUUGGGUCGGGCUGCGCUUGCACUGUUGACCUGAGUAACCUCGGUGACCCCUGGGCCUGUGUCCCCUUAAUAAGUGUUGCCCUCCCCGGUGGUAACAGAAUGGUCAAACAUUAUGUCAAGGGUAAUUAAGGUCCAAAUGCUCCUGACCCUGAUAUAAUCCCCUUUGAAAGGAUCUCCAACUGUUUGCUGUGAUUAACAAGGACUGCUGCGCUGGGAGGAUCUGCCGCUGGUGAGAAGGCUUUAUUGGUCCCCCUUUUUUAUCACCACAUAAAGUGGCCUCCAAGAGCCUCAGAAGAUGUCCACAGGUCCCAGAGACAACAAGUCGGCGCUUUGAGCUGUCAUUGAACAUUACCCACCAAAUGGCCCCGCAGGUUACAGACUUCGGAAGCUAUAAAGGAUUCCUUAAAGCCGGAGCUCUUAAAAACCUGUAAGCAGCAGCAGCAACAUACCAAGGAGGUGUAGCUCCUGCAGAUACUGAGCGGAAAAUCAAGUCUCUGCGUCUUGAAACUAUUUCCCACCGAGGCUAAAACAGCUUACCUCGUCAGAAACUUCCUGUUUUUGUGUAACAGAUGCUCGUUUUUCGACUGAAAAGUGUCGACAGAUCUAAAUUCCUGUCCGACUGUUCAGAAAUGAAGGUCAGACAGGAUAUCGGACAUGUUUCGUGCAGCCUGCUCCUGACUCGAACAUCUGGACCUAAACCACAUUUGUCCUGCCGCACGCAAAACUCCACUUCCAUAACAAACACCCCCCCCUCACCCCGCCUCCCUCAUACAAAUAUUGACCACAUGCACACACCGGGAGUCCCGAAUGACAGACUGUCCUUGCCAUGUCCACUAACGGUCACUUUAAUGCGCUGGAGGUCACAGGAUUAGUCUUGGGGGGUCAUCUUCACAGGGCCGGAGUUUUUAAUAUGACUCCUACAAAGAGGUCAGUGUCCGAGGGCGGGAGAGGUGCUGGAUGAUGAGACUCCCCCACACAUGCACACAAGAGGCCUCAGUAUGUCCCAUCUCCGCCCCUUUCCCCACAACCAUACCCCGACUCUCCACCCCGUUCCCUCCCACCUCCUUGUAACAUCUCCCCCCUUCUCCUCCCGCCUCUCCAUGAGGACAGCAGCGGCAGCAGCAGCACCCCAUCCGUCCUUUAUCUCCGGGGGCAGCGCAAGUCAUGCAGAACUCACGAGAGGAACAUGCUGAGUGUGAGCUCAUCGGAUUAGGACGCAGAUAGAGGGGUAGGGUGUCCCGGAGAGCCGCUGAGGCUUCCUCUCCUUCAAAGACCGUGUUUGUCAAAAAAACAGAUCAGAGCGGGAAAUGAACCCUGACUGAAACAUGCAUUUAUAAAACUAAAAACAUGACGUCUAACAUCAUCCUGCUCCUCUUAGAACGUCCUCUUUAAGGCCAGCGAAGGCUCAUCUGUGAGUGUCAGUAGUGUGGCACGUUCAUGUUGAGUCUGUAAUUUAAUUUAAUUUUCUGUCAAACAUUCUCCUCGUCUCUGUCGGCAGAAUCACACUCUGCAGGAAAUCCACAAAUCGAAGAAAACCUCAACAUCCGGUAACUUUCAAAACUUAAAAACGUGAUUAUAUAAAGUUUCUUUGUUUGCAUUAAAGCUGUUAAACUUCCUGCCUGUGUCUCUGCAGAAGUUUCUGAGCAAUAAUAAAUAAUGGGUGGUGCUCUUUUUUAGUUUUUCUGCGUGCAACAUUUCACUAAUAUGAUCACACUCAGUUCAACUAAACUGUGCAUCUAAACGCACUAACCUCAUAAUUCGUCUUCUUCUCUGAAUCAGACUUCUCUCCUUGUCCUCGUUUACAUGCAGCUGAGAAAACUGAAUUAUUGACGUGAACUUCCCAACACUAGGGGGCGAUAUGGGUCUGGGCAUUUUGGAGAAACAAGAAGAUGGAGCAUCGUACAGCGUUGUUUUUGUCCGACAUGAUGGACGCGCUACUUUUUCUAAAGAUGAGACCAACGCUACUCCUCUACUCUGGGGUUUUUGUUUCAGGGGUUAAAGGGGGCGUGGCACACAUGCAUUGUCCGAUCACACUCCGACUUCGCUGGUUACAUGGUAGAGAAAAUUAUCUUGCAUUAUCCGGGUGUUUUAAUCAGAGUUUUCUGACUUCGAUUAUAGUCGGACUAAAGUGUUUACAUGAACUUCAGUUGUCUGGUCUUCAUCAGAAUAAGGCGAUAAUUCGGUUUUCUCCAGCGUCAUGGAAACGGACUGACCGACAGCAGAUGUUUCCAACCUCUCUCUGAAGUCAUCAGUCUGAUCGCUGAUCCACGUCUGGAUCUUCUGAUGGAUUUUAGAAAAACAUCUUUUCCGACACAAAAACUCAUUUAGUGCGAGGAAUGUGAAAACAAGCAGGGGCGCGUCCAGACCCUGUUGACCAUGGGGGGGCCGACCUUGGCACUGACGCCACUCAGGUGGUUCAAAUAAACAGCAUUUUUAUUAUAUCUAUGCUGUAGAGUUAAUUUUAACACGUUUAUCCUGUUUAACAAAAAUCUAAAACCAAUAAGAAACGGAUAAAACCAGCGUCCUCUCAGUGGGAGAGAUUUGAGGGUUACAUCAACUCGAAAUCAUCGCGCUCGAGUUGAAUUAAACAAACCUUCAGAGAAAACAAACUGGUGGUUUAAAAACAAAGGUUAUCUGGAGGUGAGGAGGAUCCUGCGCAGGUUUACAGACAAGAACAAACACAUUUCUCUCCUCUCUUCACCCGGCUCUGACCUCUUCUGGAUAUUUCCAUUUUCUUUCUGCGGUAAUUUGAGCUCUUGGAAACACCGAGGAUCAUAAACACUAAACAAAUUUGUGCCCAUAUCAAAGAUGUUCUCCAGAGCCUGGCGUUAUCGCGGGAUAUUCCGCAAUCAUUUGUGGGAUGCGGUGAAAUGAGCUCAGCGGGAUGAAAUAUCAAAAGUGCAAUAAGGUGUGAUGAAGCGAGCUGCGCCGCAGAUACGGCGCACAUGACAGAUCAAAGAUGGCUCCACCGGUGAUGAAUUAUCCCGUCUUGGAUUCCUUCAGAUUUGGAGAUGCUCGCCUUCGUGCUUUGUUGGACGCCCUCAACAAUUUGACUCUGUUACAGCUUUGACGGGAGCGAUGUUGUGUGAUGAAUGGGGUGAGCCGCAACCUUUUGAAGUAAUAAAACAAAGGAGAGCGGGCCGGUUCUCGGCUGCGUGCCAGUCUUCAGCAGGAGGGCAGAGACUCGGAGCGAGGAGGGGCGGCACAUGAUGGCUAACGGGUGACGGCUUUGAUCACGCUCCCUGAUAAAAAGCGUAAUCAACACCUCUGGCCACAAGUCCAAAUUUGCUCCUGCCAGUGUCUAUGAAUUACCCUCCAUUACAGAGGAACAUUUGGCUUAGAUUUGGCCGCGCUGGUUUCUGAGUCACCCACACAUGCAGGCAGGAGCGGCGCAGCUGCACAGAGAGCGGCGGCGGCGAGCGUCCAGCCCGUUGACCUUACAGCUGAGAGUUUUCAGAGAUCAGAGCGAGCCAAAGAGAGAGAGCAGGAAGAUGACCGCGGCUGAAUAGUGCGGGGGGCUUAGACCUUGGUCUCUGAGUCGUGACCUUUGUUCUCCUCGGUGUGGUUAAUGUUUCCUUGUGGACUAUCUCCAAGGCAGCCAAGGAUCCCUCAGGCUGAAUGAUGCCUCUGAAUCGCUCACCGCCGCUUUUCUCUCUUUCUCUCCGUGUUUACAGCGGAAUGAAAACCCCGCUGCGCUCAAAGAUUUGCAUAUUAUGUUCGAGAAAGCUUCAGAAAUUCAAAACUGGCCGAAGAGCCACGAAAAUGUGUCAUGAGAAACCAUCGAGCUUUGGCGUUGGCUUGUGGUUUGGUUUUGAUUCACUGCGAUUAGAUGAGCUCUGAGAGUCCAACAGGAGGAAGAAGACAAAGAAUAAAAGGAACAGAGAUAUGAAGUCGACUGUGUUUGCUGAUUGUUUUGGUACGAGACAUCAUCGUUCAACUGGGGGACGGACCAGAAGGAACGAGCUAAAAGGGGGACGGACUAAACCGAUCCUUCCAAGUCCAAUUAAAUCCAUCUGUACCAUAACACCGAGUUAGACCCCCCUCCAGAGAUGAAUGUUGUCAACCGCUUUCUUCUCUAGUUAUACCAACUUUAGUAACGACAGUCAGAGAGCCACGCCCUCAACCAAAACGCCACUCUAUAGCCACAAAUAAUGCUCAGAACAGCACCUAACUUCAUCAACAGGACAUAUAGGGUCACAGACAUAGUACUAGACAGCAAACAUCUUUUUAACUUUGACUCAUUUCUUUAGCAAAGAGACUAAACACAACUCACUUACUCUCUUCCCAGGGCCGGCUGGUGGAUUUUGGUGUCCCUAAGCAAGAUAGGGCCACCAAAUAAAGUUGUUAAUCCAAGAAGAAUGAACAACAAAGCUUUCUUUAUUAGGAUAUCAAAAAAUCUAGUACAGGUCUAAUUUCAAGGGGAGAUGUGGAUGGAGUGAAGUUUGGGGAAGGGAUGCCCUUUCUAUUGGUUGUGGUUUGGGUGGGGAUGUGAUGGGGCCCCCGAUAUUGUUUGUGGCCCUCCAUUUUGUUGCAUUUUAAACAGACGAUGACUUCACGAUGGGAUAUCGUGAGCUUCUAGAUCGUCUAUAGUCUAGACAAGUGGUGGGCAACUUUGAUGAUGGAGGGGGCCAUUUUAAUUCCAAUCUCAUUCCAGGGGGGGCCACAUUACAUAUACUGUCGGUCCAUUCGAUUUCACACAAAAGUUGCAAAAUAGUCGAUCUACAAGCUCCCUGGGCUGCCAGGUGCCCAUGUAUGGUGUAGAACUAGCUAGUUAUUUUCCAUUACGGACUACAGCGGGGUGCCGCAGCUCAAGGAAGAACAUUUAUGAUCAUUUCUUCAUGGAAAUACAAUCAGACCAAGACGCUAAGACAGAAGAACUACCGCGUCUGCAGAGCAAAAUGAUUAAUAUGAUGAUUAUUACUUCAAGGAAAAAUCGUCCUGUUUGCGUUCACACCUGCAACCCGACCCUAAAAUCUUCAGACCAGCCUGUAAUGAUGGUGCUGAUCCAGAAUCAAGAAUGUGUGGCAGGAGAUUAUUGAGAUCAGGGGGUUCAAGUAAACAGGGAUGUUGCACUCCGAUAGGACGUCUAAAGGACGUCGGUUUGAUGAGUUUGAUUUUUAAUCGUUAAAACUGUAAAAUCUCAAAUUGAAAAAGCAAACAAACCCUGCAUCUGUAGGUUUGAGGCUCUCGGUCUGCAGAGUGAAACACGUGUCUGAACAAGUCCUGGUUUGAGCGUGUGUCUCAGUACAGUAGAUUACAGUGCUCUCCAUGUCAUAACCUCUGCAGAUGUUAAGCAGAGAUGUGUGUGAAUGUGUGUGUGAGGGGUUAAGUUUAAGGUUAAAGGCAGAGCUGCAGGAUUGUUUGGUAUGAGGCCAGUGUGUGUGUGUGUGUGUACAGGAAAUGGCUGUUAAUUCAAAGUUUGUUUAAACUUCACAUUUCCGCCGCUUCCAUCGGGUUUCUGCACAGACUGAGCGCUGAGAAACACAAAAGUUUGAGACAUGUUUGAUGAUCUGGACGUCAGGUUCGAGUUUCAGAGGCAGCGGAGUCGUAUUAAAUAAAAGACGUUUAUGUAUGUUUACAGAAAACAAAGCGGCCCCGCCACAGGCCGUGUAAUUGGGUUCAAGAAUGUGACACGAUGUGAUGUCGCUCACAUGUUAGCAUCCUGGCGCUUUGAUCCGAGUCUGACUGUAAACAUGUUCGGAUGAGUCACGGCAGCGAUUUGAAGUGGAAGGAGAAGAAUGCUCCUCUUUGUCUUUUCACAGGCCGCCCUGUGUAACAUCAAGACCGAUUCAAUGGAAAUUUGUCUGUCAUAAAACCAGUCCAUCAGAAAACCAGUUCAGCGGUUAGCGCCGCGAAACAUGCAACUUGAGAUGCGACCAGCUGGAAUGAGGCCCUCGAGGAAUAAAGAGGCGGUUUUCUGUUUUCAUUUUCAGGUAGAUGGACAGAUUUGAGACAGACGGGGAAUUACCAAACCACGCCAGGAUCCGGGGUCGAUCGUACGACCAGAGCGACAACUGCCUGUACAGAAACAGGUCAUACAUGAGUCAGACUUUUAACAGCGUUUAAUGAGUUAGAGGAGAGAGAGAGAGAGAGAGGCUGAUGCUCGCCGUUGAAGCAGCUGGACAGCAUCUGCAGCGCCGGUUGAUGGCGAUGUUGGAGGUUGAUGAGCGUUGAUGAGAAGUUCGACAUGUUCGACAACGGAUCCAGAUACGGACUUAGCUCUCUGUCUGUGCUUUACGUUCUGCUCGUCCGUAUUUCUGCACGUUUCCUUGAAGUUUACAGAUACGGGCCAGACGGCGCAGUACCACCGGAAACCGUGGGGGCAGUGUUGCUGCUGUCACUACCUUUUAUGUAUAUCUAAAGAGAAAGAAGAAGACAAUGGCGGGGCUUUUCGAGGACGAUCGUCAAUUUCUCUUAUCGGUACGACUAGAGAUUAUCCGUCCUCCAACCACGACCUGACCGACCACCGCCUCCGCCAACACUGCCUCCGUAUCUGUCUCCACAGUCGCCAUACGUUACGAUCAGCUACGAUCGGAGGAUACGACCUUUUAGUAGACGAUCAGGAUGAAGGUGUAAAUUGGGGGUAACUCUCUUUUGGAAAGGACAGCUGGACUUACUUGGGACGUUUUGCCUAAGGCGAAACGUCCCAAGUAAGUCCAGCUGUCCUUUCAACAUAAAGUGGGAAACCAUAGAUGCUGAAUCCUCAUUUUAAGACAAUAUCUCCAGAUUUAGGAGCAACAUCUGCGUCCAUUCAGCUGAGGAGUCCAGCGAUCCGCAGAGGAACGGAAAGAAGUCGGUGGAAAUUGACACGUUAACUUGAAUGGUUACGAUCAGCUACGAUCGGAGGAUACGACCUUUUCGUAGGCGUUCUAAGUCGACAAUCUUCAUCUGUUGUGUAAAUAGUAGCACCCCCACCUGCAGGUGAACUUGUCUCUUAAAGGGAAUGACAGCGAGCGGACACAGUGAUCGGUUUGAUUCAUGUUCAGUCUAAAAUACUCCAACGACUAAUCUUGACCUCUUUUUGAACGCUGCGCCUCAUUUAGAGUCCAGACUCUGAGACCCUGACCUGGGAUCAGUCCUCUUCAGUCCACUUAAACAGGUCCCGCUGUGUUCCCGGUAUUCCACCUCUGCUCCCUCCCGGCGCCGCUGUGCUUCGUCGCCAUGCGAACAGAAUCAAACAGAAUUUCUCUGUGAUGAACUUGUCGACACGAUUCCUUAACGAGCGUUUUGACAAACGACCCUGGAGAUGAUGUACAUAUCCUUUGGUCAUUUCCUGUCUUCCUCCUGUGACGGUUUUUUAAAUAAAACAGAGUCCGUUGUUGACUGCUUCGUGUAAGCUUCGGUGUCAAACGUCGGAGCUGUUCAUCCAUCACCGGCCCGGGAUGACACACAGACGAUUGUUUUUCACUCUGUUUAUACUUAACAGGGGAAAAAAUCCACCUCCAGGCCGCUGGAUGAUACGAAACGUCAUCGGAGGAGAGAAAGCUGAAAGUCCUCUGCAGCCUGUGUGUGUUUCUUCGCUUAGAUCGCUGCUUCCUAAUGUUCGGGUUGGAGAUUGUAAUUUUCUAAUGGCUGUUUACAGAGAUUCAGGGUUGGCACAGAGACACUGAGAACACGCUGAAGAAAACACCUCACACACUCAUCUUUACAGUGUUUCGAGUGUUUGUGCUCCGACCGUAAAUUACUGUUAAUCUGACUUCAUGAGAGCUGACAUAGCUGCCUGCAAAGUCUCAUUUUUUCCUUCUUCUUCAUGCAAAAUAACAUAAACGACCUCAGAGGAGAAGGUUUGGACAGAUCUGAACCCUGAAACCUUCUUGAACAGAUCAGCGGGUUUUACAGGAAAGUAAAGCAGAACAAGCGGAGCUCAGUUGUCCCACUGGCCCGGUACCAGCAUGAAUAUCAGAUUUGCUGAGCCCUCAUCCCAGCUGACGUCCUCUCUGAUCCUCUGAUCCGGGCCUUUGUAUCACUAUCUAGUUCAUGUUUUGGAUCCACAGGUGAUAAUGAUUUCUCUGGAUCAGGAUCUGGUCAGACCGGUUCUGCAGAAUCUCGGGUUGGUUUCAAACAUCUGUGAAAACUUCAGUUCUUUUUUAGUCAGCGCUCUUUGUAAAGUUGAGGUGGGUUUAUCUGCUCCUGUUGUGCAGGAUUGUGUUCAUGCAGAUGUGAUCGUACAUAUAUGCACAACAGCUGCAUGUCUGCUUGUCGGCCUGUUAGUAUUUUCACCUGUUUUUGUUCCUGCCUGUUUUUAAUAUUCCUUUAAGCACCAGCAUGUUUCUUAUAUCAAAAACUUCCUCUUUCAUUAUAAUUCUCGUCUCUUUAUGAACAUCUGGUCUCAGACUGACAGGAGCUCGGUUUAUCGCACACUGAUGGUGCAGCGCAGCGUUUAUUAGAAGAACAAAUCAUUUUAUUUCAAUCAUUUGUUUCUCAAAUUAAAGGUGAGGUCAGAAGGAAUCCGUUAAAGAAGCAUCUUUUUUUGUGGUGUAUUUACAAAAAAGCUUUUAAUAUCAGUCAAUAGUUAUUAGUUAUUGAUGAUAUUUGGUAAUAUAAUGAAGAGUCUAGGACUUCGAUUUUCCAUGUAAUAAAUCCAAAAUGAAUAUUUGCACUGUGACUGUUUCACUUUACUGCUCUGAUUGAAGAUGCAUGAUGUCGGGAUUUUGGAGAUGUCUGACAUGUUAAUAUUUUCUACACGUUUUAGCCCGAACCAACAAAUACACACUUUAUCAUUUUAAAAGAUACUCUGAAGUGAAACAUCUGCAGCUCUCACAUGCAACCAACACAUGCAAGAUUUCAUUGCAUUCAAAACAUUCAUGCAGAUCUGCAGACGUUUUCAUUACUUUAUAAUCAACUCUUAAAGUGAAUAUCUGCUGAAAUGUGAGGCGGCAGCAGCAGAGCGGCACUUCCCCAACAAACGUCUCUCCUACCUGCAGAUAUCAGCUCCGGGGCUUUAAGUGACUUCACCUGGGCAGGUGUAUGGAAGGCCAACGGGAGUAAAAAAACACACUCAAACAUACAGCUGUAACACACGACAGUGAAGUUUUCGGCCCUGAUUCUUAAAUUUACACGUCCAUUAGGGCGACCAUAUUCUGAAUCCACAGACAGAGGACACGCCUACCCUGAGGCGGAGUCACGGAGUCGUGGGUAGUAGAUUUUGAGAGUUUUUCAGGUCGGACAGAGUGUUUUUUAUACGCUUCUAACUCAGUAAAUCAACGCGACACAAACUCAAAACUUACGUACUAAACCGCAGACAUUUGAAGGAUUUUAUAAACUCCCCUGGACAAAGACGGACACCCCCCUUAAAAGAGAACAUGUCCGGGUAAAAGAGAACGUAUGGUCACCUUAACAUCUAUGAGCUCCACAGACCUUUAACUUUAAGAUUAGAUUUAAUCUGAGCUUUCUAUACAGCCAAAAUCAGUCAUAAAGUGUGAGAUUGUGAGAAAUCUGAGGAUAAAUUUGAGUGGUGUCCAUGAAAUCCGAAGAAAACGGGUAAAAACAGACAGAAACUCCUCAGUCGUUUGUCCCUGACAGGAGACGUUGAGGUCUCUGUUUAUGCAGGAGCGGCUCUGGUCAGUUCAGGAGAGUCUAAAAUCAGAACCUCUAACACCAUCUAAUGACAGUGUGGAUCCUGAGAAGCUGCUCUGAUGACAGACGCAGCCGCCGUGCUCCGGACACAACCUCAAAUUAAAGAUAAUCCUUGGAUGUUAUUUUACGAGAUUACGCCGACCGUGGAGGAGCCUGCGGCGCUGUUCUCACCGCGCUACAUCAUCCCCGCAGGAACGAAUAAACAAUCUAUUCUUCUCUCUGGUUUACCUCCGCCGGCUGUUUACCUGAAGGGGGGCGUGACGCCCACGGCGAAUGUUUGUCCGACAUAAUCAGACAGUUGUAUUUAGAAAAGAGCUGAUUGUGUCUCAGGUUUCCUUCACGGGGGAAAAAGUCGACGAUCCUGAACACAAACAGUACGAGUCACCGUCAGACCUCUGAUUCAGGCUUUCUCUUUCACCUUCGACAAAUGUUUCUUUAUGGACAUAAUCGGAGGAUCUGUGUCGGAGCAGGUUGUUUGGAUUUGAAACAGUCGCCCCCUUGUUUGGAGGAAACCAGUUCGGCUCUGACUAAUCAUUUUUACGAGCCUGUUUUUUGGCGUUCGCACCGUGACCUCAGAGCAGGCGGAGGUGUUUGUCAGCUGAUCUGUUAUUGUCUAUUGUAAACGCUCAAACACUGAUAGAUUUGAGUCGAUGUGACGGUUUGUUUCCCUGACUCUCAGGUCGAUGCAGCGCCGUUCACCCCCGGUCUUAAAAUCUGACAGUAGAGCGAGUUCAGAUCUCCACGUCUGACCUUUCUCACGCUGAGCCGCUGACAUCUCAUAACCCCCCGUGUCAUCGUAUAAUAGCAUGACACAGUUUAUCACCCGUGCCAACACUUCAGACCCCCCACUGGGACCAGAGAGAGUCUCUUCAUGAGGUUUAUUCAUCGGCCCCUCAGGAGGGGGAUCACACAGUCCGCCCCCUCGCUUAACCACAACCAGCCUCAUAAGCGCAGGUGUGCGACCCGAUCUCCCACUCCUCCGACGUCGUCCCUCUGAACCUCCCACCACUCAUCUCCGUCUCCCUCUCUGCUCCAUCUGAUCCCCGUGUAACAGACUUUAACCGUCCAUUACUCAGCCUGACCCCCGAUGAUCCCUGUAAAAACUUUACUGUCUGUUUUCAGGACUGUUUAAACACUCGGCAAGGAAAUCUAUCUGCUGUUACCCGAGAUUUUCGCCGUACGUCAAUUCCUACUAGAUCCUACCAUAUAGAGAACUCACAAGAACCUGCAGAUUCACGUUCAAUCACACGAUAACGAGUUGUCUCUAUAAAGACAGACACACAGACAUAUAAGCAGUAGAUUGUGUCCUUCCAGAGGAGGAAAUCUAUUUCUAGACUUCUAGAUCAGCAUCUCCUCAUCCAUGCUGUCAUCGGGGUGAAAUGAUGUUAACUUGCAUGAAUGAUCUAUCUCAGCUUUACAUGCUAACAUGCUAACUGUUUACCCUGACCUGUUAAAAGCACGCAAAAAAAAUGGCUGAACCUGUGAGGAAUGUCCCACUGAUUAUGUAAUAAUGAGACUUUUAUACAAAUCCUUCUUUUCGUACCAAAGUGAGAUUAACAGCAUGCGGAGCACUCAUUCUGAAGCGCUGAUGGUUCAAACUCUGCUUGUAGACGUAAAUUUGUAGCCAUUCAGGAUGUGGUGGAAAUUUGGGGUUUACUAUCACCAACAACCAAGACUGGAUGGUCCUGAUCUUCACAGCGUUGAAAACAGACAGGACUCUGGAGAAGAAAUCACCUCAUGAGAAGGACAACUGUUGUCCUUCAACGAAGAACUGGAAAUCAUAGAUGCUGCAUCCUCAGUUUUAAAGACUAGAGAGUCCACCCAGCUUGUUCUCAGCAUCCCUGAUGGUACGGGGAUCAUAAGAGUCCAGGUUUAGGAGCAACAUCUGCUUCAAUCCAGACAAAGACUUUUUCAGGGAGGACCUUCAAAUGAUCCCAAAUCAGAAUCUGACAACAGGAGAAGAGACCUGGACUGAUGCGGUCCUGACUUGAAAACAUUUGGAGCAUCAUGACCCCAAAAACAGGACCAAGGAGACCCUGAACUGUUGAACUGUUAUUAUUAUUUUAGUUUCUAAAUUUGAUUUAUUUUUUUCAAACCAUCAACCACGUCAUUUUUUAAGAUCAGGGUUUAAAGAACCAAAAAGCAGAACCAUCAGGUUUUUAAAGACAAAUCUGUGUUUUAAAAACAGACGUGACUUUUAAAACCGGGUUUAUUUUUCAUGAUCUUCAGCUGUUAUUUCAAUAUUUAUCACUGGAAAAAAAAAAAACCUUUUAUGAAAGCAGAAUAUAGUAAAAACCAGCACAGAUUUCCUGCAGGUUGAACUGGGUAAACUGGCAGAUUAUGAACCUGAAACCCUAGAAAUAGAUCAGAAACAAAAGCACAGUCUCUAAUAAGAAUUUUUAAAGGUCCUUAAAACAUAUUUUUGAUUAACUUUUUACCUCCAAGUAUGAAUGAAUUAGUCCCCAAAGUUUCAGAUUUAAUAACUAAAUACUGAGUUUUUUUCUGGAUUCAUCUGCUGCUGAGUAAGAUGACCAUACAUCCUCUUUUACCCGGACAUGUCCUCUUUUUUGGGGAGUUUAUAAAAUCCUUCAAAUGUCCGGGGUUUUGUAUAGAAGUUUUAAGUUUGUGUGUCAUGGACUUACCGAGUUAGAAAAGCGUAAAAACACUCGAUUCAGGAUAUGGUCACCCUGCUGCUGAGGCUUUUUACUCCCUUUACAGACAACAAAGCGUCCUCCUGAAAUAAAUGACACCUUUCGUAAACAUAAUAAUCCCACCAAACCUUGUUUAUUCCACCUUGAACUCUUUGGAUAUUGUGCAGUCAAGAGAUGAAGAAGAGAGGGAAGAAAGAUGGCUUGAAAAAUGGCCCCUGAUGGACCCCUAACCUCGCACACCCGGCUGCGAAUCCUCACCAAACACUCGAAUAUCACUUAACAGCCCUCAUACGCUAUUCAUGUGCGCACAGAGCCGACGACGAGCAUCGAUUAGUAGAUUCAGGUGCGCUAAUUCAGGCGUAGAACAAUGAGGGUACUCCGGGGAUAAUAGGCGCUGAUCUUCAAAGUCGAUGAGCGGUACGAUUCCUCACUCUGCACUUCGCCUGUGUCACAACACGGGGAGGCCUUCUGGGCAAAGUGAGGACUCCCAGCUGGAUGUGACGACCCGGCGGAGAAUCAACACAAAACCCCAAAGAAGGGGAUCAAAGAGGGGUUUAAUCCCGUCCAUUCAGUGUUGGCUGACAACACAUACGAGGGUCUAAAGUGUGUGUUAGAUGUGGGUAAUGAGGGUAGGUUAUUAUUCUGCCCCCGACCUGGUUAUUGCUUCUUACGGAAACAUUGUUCGCCCACUUCAGAGCUCUGUUUGGAUCAGCAUGGCCACGCACGGAGGAGAGGAUAUGGGAAUGAAAGGCUGGCUGAGGUCAGCGCGGGGGGCAUUGUGUUUGAGUUUCAUUGAAAACAUCACAUGAAAUCAAAGUUGUUUUCAUAGAGACGUUAAAUAUUAUUCUGAGGGAACAAACUGAACGGGGUUUCUUCUCUUUAUUGUUUUUGGGGUUUUUACUUCAUACUUCUUUUAUAAUUCUCAUAUUUGUUGUUAUUUUUUUAAACGUAUGGCCCUGAUCAUGUUUGGAGUUAAAGAGACGCUGUAAAAGAUUUUACUGUGACUGCAGAAAAAGAGCUUAAUGAGGCCCCGUUUAUACGUACCCGGUAAUUUUUAGAAACGGAGACAUUAACCAUCGUUCGCACUUUUCAGAAUUCGCUCCUGAAAAUGAUGCUUUUUAGAAACUCCGGCCAAAGAUUUGGGUAGUUGACGGCAGAUUGUGCCCCAGAAAGGAGGAAGAGACGUUGUUGUUGUUGAUUGGGUUAUGUCGGCUCGAGCUUCUCGCUACACUGCCACCUACAGGUUUUUUCAUGCUCUUGACGGGAUAUACCGUAUUUUUCGUACAAUAAGGCGCACUUAAAAUCCAUACAUUUCCGCAAAAACUGACAGCCGCCUUGUGUUUGAUUACUUGUUGAGCUUACUGACCGAUUUCUUUGUGGUACAAUGCGCUUAAGAAUCAGUUGAAAUGUGUAAGUACGAUUUCAGUGAGCAAAGUCGUUCCGCUCAAUGGAUAUUCUGAGAAUUACGGUAACUGUCACCUGAGCUGGAAUCAUCGCUGAACAGCCAAGUACCGGUAACAUCAACGAGACCGACUCGGAUAAUGACGAGAGGGAUCUGAGCACGCUUGACGCCAAAACAGUUUUUUUUUUUUUUUGUAAACAGAGAGAGUGAAAUGUCUGUUUAUGAAAAUAGCCGCGCAUGUGUAAACAUCGUCUUGUUCGACUCAAAGUAACCUCAUUUUUACUCUCUCUCUCUUACAGGUUUGAGCCUUCAGACGACCGCCCUCCUGAGUCUUCUGGAAAUGAUUGAUCCGACUACCGAAAGACUUUCGCAGGCUAUCGAAACCUCGUCGAGCUGUUAGGUAAGAGACGUUUUUAUUUCUGCAGAAAUAGAAGUUGCCAUAAAUGUCAGUGAGGAUGUGAGAUGCCAAAGAUGUGGACUUGGACAAAUCAGCUCAAACCUUCAUACUUCACACAUACCGCCUUUUAAAGGGACUCAAAAUCAUGUAAAGAUCUCAGAAAAGAGAUUUCAGAUUUGCCGUUUUCGACUCGUUUGUUGGCUAACCAACAGUUUGAAGAAGUUCUUCAUCUGCUCUCUUUUAGAUCUUCAUUCCUCCUGUCCUCACGUUUCUCAUCCGUCUUUUCUUAAGUCUGGGAUUUCAUACGUCUCUUUAUAUCUGUCAGUUUUGAUUUCAAAGAUAUCCUUUAUUAAAACACCAGCGCUCUGAACUUCAGCUCCAAGAUAGUUUUUUUUUUGCGUGUGAAUCGAGUCCAAACUUCCUCCUCUGAUUGGCCGUGCCGUCGGUUCGGCGAGCUCCGGCCGGCUGGUAGGAGAGCUCUGAUGUUUCCAACUUUCAUUCGCAGGCAGAGAAACCUCAGCAAACACGACGCUGAGCGCUCAGCGUGAUUGAUGACCUGUUCUUAUUGAUACAGCGCCUCACAUGUGGUUUGGCCAUUGUGAGCACAUGUGGUUAACCAAUAAAGAACAGAUCGAGGUUACAUGUAGAUUACAGGCUUCGGUUCCAGCUCGCUGUAUUGUCAUUGGCUGGAGGAGUAACCCCAGAGGACAGCUUUAUUUUGGAGCUUGUCAUUACUGGACCUCAGAGCUUUCUAAACGGGUUUAUGUCAUGCUUCAUGGUCCCGAUCGCAUGAACUAAGUGUGUUUUCUCAUGGAGCUCGGCAAGUGUGGACAGCCUUAAAUGAAGUGGUGGUACUUUAAUAGAAAAAUGUGGAGUAGUUUUACCCAAAUGUUUCUGUUCGUAAUGAUUGAAUCCCAGAGAAAGGAAAGUGCAGCUGCAGAUUCAUCAUAUGAACUAAACUGAAGUAAACGUUGGUAUCGUGUCGGUGACGGCGGUCCUGAAACGUCGGAAAUCCACCAGGUCAAAGGAAACACGUCUACAGAGACGUGCCAACAUGCAUGAGGAAGAAAAAGCCUCAAACACUGAAAUUAGCUUAAUAGAAAACCAGGAUCCGACUCCUGGAGAGUCCACGUUUCAGGUCGUCUUUGGUUGUGUACAGGAAACCAUGGCAACGGAUACGAGGGUAAUGUUUGAGUUGGAGCUGAUGCAUGACGUGCAGGAGUUGAUGAAACUGAUUUUACUGCGUAGAAGAGGAGAAGUGAUGCAGAAGAAGAAGGGGGCGGGGACAGCAGGUAACUGACCAAUCACAGUGGAGUUCAGGGAUACCGGAGAUAAAAGAAGCAGAAACACAAAAGCAGAAAAUCUGAAGAGUUGGUUUAAUCUGGAGUAAAUUUAAUCUGGAGAGUUUGUUUAAACUGGAAUAAGUGAAUUCUGGAGUUUGUUUAAUCUAAAAUUUGAUUAAUCUAGAGUUUGUUUAAUUUGGAGAGUUUGUUUAAUCUGGAGUUUCUUUAAUCUGGAGAGUUUGUUUAAUCUGGAAUAAAUUAAUCCUGGAGUUUCUUUUAUCCAGAGUUUGUUAAAUUUAGAGUUUGAUUAAUCCUGAUCGUGUUCAAUUUCAAGAGAUUGUUUAACCUGGUGAGUUAGUUAAAUAUAGAGAGUUUGUUAAAAGUGGAGUUUGUUUAAUCUAGAGUUUGAUUAAUCUAGAGUUUGUUUAAUCUGGAGUUUGUUUAAUCUUGAGAGUUUGUCAAAAUUUGAAAUUUGUUAAAUCUGGGGUUUGUUUAGCCUGGAGAGUUAGUUUGAUUUGGAGUUUGUUUAAUCUGAAUGGUUUCUCCUUCUUCUUCUUCUUCUUCUUCUUCUUCUUCUUCUUCUUCUUCUUCUUCUCCUCCUGCGUUCAGCCAACAGAUCGCUCUGAGCCAGGUGCUCGUUCUCCUCAGGAUAAAAAUGGGCGGCAACCAGAUCAGCUGUGUGUGUGUGUGUUUGUGUGUUAUUGUGUGUUUGUUUGUAUGUGUGUGUUUUAGUGUGUGUAAGUGUGUUUGUGUGUGUUUGUGUGUGUGUGUGUUUGUGUAUGCAUGUGUUUGAACCUGAUGCAUUACUGACAGGACCGGGCCCUGGUGCAGCAGUGAUCCAUUGUUUUCCUUGGCAGAGAUUAGCGGCCCCCAGGGGCCCGUGCCACAAAGAGAGCUCUGUUACCCACUAGAGUGCUUUAUUGUGCCCCAAAUUACCCCCGUGGAGAGGGGGAAAACAGCAUGGCAAAUAUCGAGCAUGCAUAAUGUCAAUGAGCGAAAUGACAGCUGAAACUCCGUUCUGCUCGUCUUCCUGCGCCGACCAUCGGCGGAGCGGCGGUGGGAAAAACAACUCGGAGCUGUGUACAAACUCUUCGCUCGUAAAUCUCAGAGAUGGAGUUCAAAUGUGUUUGCUCUAGAUCUUUAUCAGCGCUCGUCAAACACACUCACACUCACAGAGGGGACGUUUUUGAUUCUUGUGUGCGGCCCCUCUCUUGAGAAACCGCCAUGUUUCUUGUGGCGUGUCUCUCCCCCUCCCCUUUAAAACUCUUGUUCUUUUUCAUCUGAAACAUGGGUAGAACUUCACAUCCCCAAAUUCCUCUAAGACGGCUCAAACCUCUCCAGAAGACGAAUGGGGUCACGUCUACAAAGGGCAAUAAUCUUCUUUUCUCCGCGGCCUACAAACAAGCCUGUCAAUUGGCUUCAUUGUUAACAUCCUAGGGGACUGGUUUUUAAAAGUGUCAAGAUCAAAAGGCCUGACUGACAAAGCACACUUUUUUAUUAUUGCAGUGGCAGCCCAUAAGCUUUUAAUGUAGAAAAUUACAGUCAUUAAGUACAAGCUGAACAAGGCUUGGAUCUUGACAGGGGCUUUGAGGAGCGAACCACAAAUCAAAAAAACAAGCCCAUGGCGGAGAUAAAGAGGCUUGUAUGUAAAUAUGAGCUCUUUCUACUGGAGCAGAGCACACAGCCCGCCUCUGAGCGUUCCUGCAGCGCCGCACUGGUGGAGUUUCAGGACGCGGUGUCUUCGAAAAGAAAAGGGUAAUUAACCGGAGACUAUAAACAGAGAGAAUCAAAAGCAAGUGAGGCUUGAGAGCGAUCAUUUCAGAGAAGAUGAACGACUUCCAUCUUUAGUCCUGCUGCUAAUUUGAGCUUGUGCUUAAACCUCAGAGAGUUUUCUAAACUUAGGAAGCUUCAGACCUGCGUCAAGAGUCUGUAAACAAAAGACAAAGUGACUCAAGUCGUAUUAGAGUUUGGGGUUAAACUGUGUGAGGCCUAACUGAACCAUCAGGGUGGUGUUUUAAGUUUCAAGCAUGUUUCAAUGGGAGCCAACCGGCCAAAGGUGGAGAAUAUAAACUACAAACCUGUUAGCAUGAAAUUACCAAGACAACAGUUUGGGUGAAAGUCAACGCAGAGAGAUUUAUGACCAGAGGGCUGCAGGGAGUGACACCAAACGUGUCGUCGUCGUUUUCUGCUGCGUCAUCCGAGUCCGGGUCGCGGGGGCAGCAGCUUCAGGAGGGAAGCCCAGACGGCCCUCACCCCAGACACUUCCACUUCCGGUCCUGGGCCGGCCACGAGGUCUCCUCCCGGUGGGACAUGUAUGGAACACCUCUAACGGGAGGCGUCUGAACCAGAAGCCCGAGCCACCUCAGCUGACUCCUCUCGCCGUGGAGGAGCAGCGGUUCUCCUCUGAGCGCCUCCCGAGUGUCCGAGCUCCUUAAUACCCAAAGUUCAUGACCAUAGGUGAGGAUCGGCACGUAGAUCGAUCGGUAAAUCAAGAGUCUCACCUUACGGCUCAGCUCUUUCUUCACCACGACGAAACAUGUGGACAUGCUUUUAUUUUAACAAGCGGAAAACUGGACACUGAGGGCCUGAUUUACAAAAAGUUUGCGUGUACAAAAAGACAAGCAAACUUGAUAGUGCACGCAAAACUGACCUACUACGGGUGCAUCGAGGAUUGCGUCUGUCAAAUGAGCAAAACAACACGCGCAAUGGAUUGAAUGUUUUUGCUUUUAUGAAUUUGCAGAAUGUUUGUAGAUCAUCAGACCGCGCACAAUUCUGGGAGGAGCAGAUGCAAAUGGAGUCAUUAAGUGCCCAAAAUGUGAUCUAUCAAACCUGGAAACCAAUUGCGGUCGCUGUUUUGCGUCUAUGUUUAGCACGUUUGAAAGGCACGUGCAAACUGGCACAACGUUACACACAAAUGGCGUAACGUUGUAAAUAAUUAGGUCAAACACGGAACAGUCGCAAAAAUUCAUCUCUUUGUCUUAUUGAUUUUAAAUUGUUUGAAUCUCUUUAUUUUUUCAUAUUAAAUAUAUUUUCUUGCGUCUGUUAAUCACUCUGAAUCGCCUUGAGUAUGAACAGACAAACUUCCCUUUCCUUUUCUGCAGUUGGUGAAUUCUGACGCUCGCUGUGAAACUCUCAGUGCGUCUAUAAAUAUCACAAAAACAGUUGAAUGCGCUCUCUCCUCACCUUUUCAUUCGUCCGCUGAUGUUAAUGGUCGAUUACGCAAAAUGUGCAGCGGGGGGAGAGGGGUGGGGAGAGGGGGAGUCCGCUCUUACCCAGCUAAAUUGCAGUGCAGUGUUGGUAGUUGCCCUUUGAGUGGCCACCGCGGUGAAAGGCUGGUGGGCCGGGGUGACUCGGCCCUCUCCUCAUUGUUCCCAGAGCUUGGUAUUCCUCUCAUAGCGUGGCCCGGCCUCUAGAGGAUAUGCUUUUAAAGAUCCCAUGCCCUCGCUGUGGCCCCACUCACCUCCCUGACUCACAAUUUUUUUUUUUUCUACAGACACAACCCUUGAACUUCAGCUCACCUCAGGAUAGAGGGAGGGAUGAUCCGGAGCGAAAAAUGAAGACGAGAUCGACCUCCAGAUCAGAAUUAUCCCUGUUUUUAUCAGGCCUCUAUCUGCCUCUCCCCCAUCUAUCCCUCUCUCUUUUUCAUCCCUCCUUUUCCAGGCCUCUCUCUCUCUCUCUCUCUCCCUCACUCUCUCUCUCUCGCUCUCUCUCUCUCUCCUUCCUUUUUGCUGAGUGUCCCGCUCAGCUGGCCAGCACCUUUUCAAUCUUUGCCUGGGGAAUUGUCCCCUGCAUGUCAAGUGUAGCCAUUAGAAGGAAGGGUUUGGAUGAGAGGUGCUUUUCAGGUCCCCGUCCCCCUCACCUUUGAAUGGAGACAAUAGAGCUGUUCUGUAUGUCCAGAUGACCACACACACACACACACACACACACACACACACACACACACACACACACACACACACACUGCCAGCCUGUAGGGUCCCGUACUCUACACUCACAUUUCAGGGAACGGGGUAUUACAUAACAAGCUAAUGUUGUUGUCUCUGACUGUUUUAACGUCUUUAUAGUUUGAACAACAUCACCUGAGAGCGUUUAACCUCAUGACGGCGUGUUAGAGUUAGGGCGUGUAACCCCCAGUUUCCACCGCGUCCGGAACGGCAGUUAAACCGCCAUCAGCGCCAAUCGCCGCUGAUCGUAACUAUUCAAGUUAAUGUGUCAAACUUCACAGGCUUUUUCCAGCCCACCUGCGGUUCAUCGAGCUUCGUAGAUGAUCGCCAGAGUUCGCCAGAACUUUUUCCGGACAUCCGUAUCGUAUUUCACACCAUGCAAACAGGCGGAGACGAACAAGUGAAAGGUUUUUAGACGUCAUUUCACCCCGAUGACACCAUGGAUGAGGAGAUGCUGAUUCUAGAAGUCUAGAAGUAGAUUUCACCAUUAACCCCCAAUUUUCACUGCAUCCGGAACGGCAGCGAAUUUCGCUGUACGCCGAAUCCUACCAGAUCUGUUUAUGAGGCGAAUUCCUGGCAGAUAACAGACAGCAGGAAUUUGCACGGAUUUAUGUGCAAUCACGCAAUAACAAGUCGUCUCUUAUCCACAAAGGAUAACCAUGAAAGCAGUAGAUUGUGUCUGAGCAGAACGACGCACAGCCGUGGAAACAAAAAAAACGACAACGCGACUAAACAAUUGCGAUUCGUCUCAUUUCAGUCAAUGAAAAUAAAGAGACAUUUUAGCAGUUUUUAUUUUGUGAACCACAUUAAGUCUCAUUUUUAUUUGUCAACAAUUUUGUAUGAUAUAUUUAGUGAUAGUUAUCGUCACAAGACCACCAUUUAUGUUUCGUCUUGCCUCGUUUUUGUCACGUGAUAAAGGUUCGUUUACGAUGAUAUUUUGUCAUUGUUUUUGCAGGUCUGAGUCAGGGAUUUUAAACUGAUGAAUGCACGUGAACUUCCCUGCACCUUCAGUUUUCUUCUGUUUGCGUUCGGAGAUCCUCCCUCUGAGUUAUGACCUCUUGUCUUUUUCAGCUGCACUGUGUCCUCGUUUCUCUGGAUCACAGGAGUUUAAAAUCUCAGAUUGAAGAGGAAGAUCAUCUCUCUGAAGACUUCAAAAAGACUCGGUUGUUUUUGGUUUAACUUGAUACACUUGAAUCCCUGUAAAUAUCAGAGCUCGGCGUGUUAACUCUGAUUCUUUGAUAAAGCUCCUCCUGGUUUCUCAAAGAUGACAGUCGAUAAGUAAAGCCCCUGUGCUCAUGUUUCCUCUGACGUGCACAUAUUUUUUAGAUUAAACUACAAGCGGCAGCCAUUACCCGGAGUAACUCCACAAAAUUGGCUGUGAAAUCUUUAGGUUUCGGAUAAGAGCCGGCUAUUAUACGUUGUUUUUCUAUGUGCCAUAGUAAAGCAUUCUACAUCACAGCCAAUGAGACACGGCGGUGUGAAGGGACAGCGGGAUCCAGGCCCAGACAUCGUACUUGGCAAUCUUAAGCCCUGAAAACUAUGAGGAACUUAAAGCACACUCUCUUUAAGGACACAACACAAACUUGGCAUUCAGCACAUUCUCCUGCAGCUCCUUUAAAGCCACGGGUGUCAGGACACGUUACUCUCUCCGCUAACCUUUUACACGAUGUGGCAGCGUGCCUUUCUGAGGAGCGGACUCUGACAACCUUAUCUAAAAGGUCCCUUAAGUGGCCGGCUUUAGAAAAUGACUUGCAGGAAGUUUUAAAAACACACAUUAAAACAAGCUGGAGGGGGAUCAGAGAGUGGAAGGGGGUCAUUGUAAGCCGUACUACGGUGCUCCCAGGCCCACCACCACGGGUUUGUAUAAGCCCCUUACUGAUAAUGCGCCGUACAGUCUGGCCCCCAUUCUUGCCUCCUUGACUGACAAAGUCACUCAUAGCAGCGGAUUAGCAGGCUGCACAGGGGCCCUCCACUCUUAAAUGGCAGAGGUUGUCUGUAAUGUGCCCGUGAUGGACGUGCUGCAACAUGCAGCAGCUAGUUCCAGCCUCCACCUCUCCGUCCCAUUUAAGCCUUCAACCACCCCUCCUUCGCUCCCUCCCUCCUUCCCUCGGUCCAUUCCUCACCUCCUCCCCCCCUCCCCGGUUGUGUAGCAUGAAUCAGGUGGGAGGCCUCCGCUUGGCCUGCAGCAACAAGAAUGUAAAGAUAAUCUUCAGGUGGCUGGUACAACACCGGCUUAUUCCUGGAGCUGAUAGCUGACCUCUCCGUCUAAUGCGGUGAAGACGAGGAAAACACGGCUGCUGAGGAGAGACCUAAAGCUACUCCUCGAAAUCUCAACCUCGGAGUGACGGCACAAACAAGUGCUGCUCACAUGCACUCCGGCUCAACACGAACACGGAGCUGAACUCACAGAGAUGCAUUCAUGUGUUUGUGUGUUUGACAUCUCUGCUGCUUUCUAACCUGUAUCAAAAAAAAUCCCUUUCUCUGGAAAUGGAACAGGAACCCUGAGGCUGAUAACCUCGUGUUUGUCAUCCAUCCACCACAUUUUAUUAUGUUGCUUUAUGCACCAGAUAACAGACACUGAUUUUACUUCCUUUUGUAGUGUCUCUGUGUGUCCUUCUGUUAAACUAUUAUCUGAAAGACAUUUUUAGUGGCGUUAAAACGGGACAAAGGAGAUUAAAAAUACAAACAAAAAUAACUUGAUUUUCACUGAUAACUAUAGUUUUUAUUAGGUCCAUGUCGCAGGAAUCAAAGUUCGACUGCUAUCAUAGAUUUUCAGGAGGUUUUUGGUGCCCUGUCUUACCCAGGAUUUCCAUCGUGUUCGAAACUUGAAUGGUUACGAUCAGCUACGAUCGGAGGAUACGUCCUUCUCGUAGCCGUUCCGGAUGCAGUGGACAUUGGGGUUAAUUCUUUGAGCAGAUCAGAUGGUUAAUGUGAGGUUCUGUUUGCUUUUUGUUAUGUGAAUGUUUGCAUUCAUUACAGUUAGCUUCAACAGCUUUUUUUUAAUAAUGUGAGCUUUACCCUCCAUUUAGACGCAAAUUCGCCCCUGAAAACGAUGCUUUUUAUAAAACUCGGGUCAGAGAGGAGAUUUUGGAAAAAUCUGUUUGCAUUUAAAAAGAGAAAAACGGAGGUAAACAAAAAUUUGGGUAGCCGUCGGCAGUUUGUGUGCAGAAAAGUAGGAAUUGACGUUGUUGUUGCUUCUAUGCAGGAUUCUGAUUGGCUAACGUGGGUUUGAGUUUCUCGCUACACUGCCACCUACAGGUUUGACAUGCUUUUGACGGGGUAUACACGCGGGUUAGUGUAAAUUAAAACUUUUCUGAAAACGUAGCGGUGCGUGCGCAGGUGUAAACAUAGUCUUAUUUGACUCAAAGUAAACUCAUUUUUACUCACUCUCUCUCUUACAGGUUUGAACCCUCAGACGACCGCCCUCCUGACGUUUCUGGAAAUGAUUGAUCCGUCUACCAAAAAACUUUCCCCGAUUAUCAAAACUUCAUCAAACUAAAAGGUAAGAGACGUUUCUAUUUCUGCAGAAAUGGAAGUCGACAUAAACUCUCCAAUUUGGUGUCCAAAUGGAAAAAAGGCGUGCUCAUUGUUUCCAAAGUUUCCGACUUUGGUGGAAAAUAUCAUGAAUGGCUCAUUGUAGUGAGUGAAAUCAGACGACGUGCAGAGACAAUCGAGAGCGGUUGCAGUGGAAAACCAUUGUUGUAAUUAUUACAGGUAUGCCCUGCAGGUGUGAUUAAUCUUCAGCUGUCUGGGUGGAGAACAUCCGGCUGAUGCCAAAUGGGGCAUACCUGUGUCUUGUGUCAAGUGUGUGUGUGUGUGUUUAAUGGUAUUACCUUAUAAGGACUGGCUAAUUUCUGGCGUUGUCAUUGUGGGAUAUAAGCUCCAGUCUACUUCCUGGUGAAAUGCCCGUGUUAGGACAGAUGUGGUGAUUUCUAACCCCUCCCCGUCCCCUCUGUUACCCUUUUUAGCUGAAGUAAGUCGGCAGUUUCCACAUUGCGACCUCAUGUGCUGUAAGUGUGUGUGGGUGUGUGUCUGAUGUCUGAGGUGGUGCUGCUUCCAGAGAUGAGGUGGAGCACCUGUGCACGGACUUACUCACUCACUCACAAAUAUAUACACACACUGGAGAUUGUCUGGCUGUGGGAUUAGGACUGGCUGACUUCUCUCGAGUGUCUGAGUCACACUGUGUGCUUAGAUGAUCAUCAAUAAUAAUCAUUAAAUCACUUUUACAUUCAGAGUUUGGCUUCAGCUUCACUGUAAAAUCACUCAGUUUCAUUCUGGUUAUUUUUAUAGACUUAGAGAUCCUUCUGUGACUUCAGGUCUACAGUAACUUGAAAGUCUGUCUGUGGCUCAAAAAUCCUGGUUUUCAUGUCUGGUUUUACCGCAGUUAUGACUCGACGUGAUGACUGAAAUUAUUACCUGAAGAGUUGUGGGGUGACUCAGUCAGACAGACAGUUCUGGUCUUGGACUUGUCCCAAAGGAUUCUGAGACUGACUGCUGACUUUCCUCUCUCAUGAUUGAGAUUUUUCGAGGAUGACUUUGGAAUAAACCAGAGUCUGAAACACGCCUGAGACUCUGGGGUUGACUCGAUCAGGCCUUGGACUUAAGGUCUGACUUGGAAACUUGAAGGCCUUAAACCUGUUAAAAAGUUGGGACUUGACUCAGAUCUGACUAUUUAACUUUGUCUUGACUCAAGUCUGCAGACUUUACACUGAGCUGUUAACCUGUUGUUGUGUUUUCAGACUGAUAAAGAGCCCGUUAGUUCCCAUUUAGACUUAAUUAGACUAGGAUUAUACAGAGUACGUCUUAAUUUGUCUUGAAUGACAAAAAAAAAAUGGCAUUUAAUGUUUUACUUAAAAAACUGAAAACAUGAUUUGAUUGGCUCUCUGUGAUGUCUGAUACAAUUGGCCUACAUACAUCCAUCCGUGUACCAAUCAUCCAUCCAUCCAUCUGUGUUCCAUUCAUCCAUCUAUACAUCCAUCCAUCCAUUGAUGUCCCAUUCAUCCAUUCAUCCAUCCAUCCAUCCAUUUAUGUCCCAUCCAUCCAUCCAUCCAUCCAUGUACCAUUCAUCCAUCCAUCCAUUGAUGUCCAAUCCAUCCAUCCAUCCAUCCAUCCAUUUAUGUCCCAUCCAUCCAUCCAUCCAUUCAUCCAUGUACCAUCCAUCCAUCCAUCCAUCCAUGUACCAUUCAUCCAUCCAUCCAUUUAUGUCCAGUUCAUCCAUCCAUCCAUUCAUCCAUGUGCCAUUCACCCAUCUAUAAAUCCAUCCAUCCAUCCAUCUUUAUAUCCAUCUAUGUACCAUCCAUCCAUCCAUCCAUCCAUCCAUCCAUUAUGUACCGUUCAUCGGUUUUUUCACGCAUUCAUCCCUUCCUCCACCCAUCCAUCUAUUUACCAUUCAUCCAUCCAUGUACCAUCCAUUCAUCCAUCUAUACAUCCAUCCAUUGAUGUACCAUUAAUCCAUCCAUCCAUCCAUCCCUUCCUUCUUCAUGUCACCGCUCUUUCUUCUAACCCUGUAUCCUCCCCUCUGUCAUCACCGGUGUUUCGUUGUUUAGUAAACACAUAAAUCAGAUCGACCUGAGCUCGGCUCCUUCCUGUCAAACCUUCUCUUCUCUUUCAGUCCCUAAACUUACAGGUAAAUGUUGGAAUAAUUAUCGACAGGUGAACCCAAAGUUUCCUGUCUCUUCAUUAAACAGAUCUGCUAAAACACCUUUAUAAAAAUAUUAACAUGUUUUCUCUCCAAGAAACCUGGACAGGAAAGAAAGGCUGCUGUUUCUUGGAAAGAGCAAACAUCCAUGCUUAAGUAUUUAAGGGCAAAGGACCACAGCUAAUUCAACUUGUACCAAGCAGUACUAGCAUAAUUAUGAUUGACAGCUGGACUGACCGGUUGAUCCGUGUCAGAACCUUAUUAAACAGCAGUCAGCACACCGGCCCCGGUCUUGGAUUUUCGAGGAACCCCUCAGGACCAAAGCGACACAUUUCAAACGGGUCCACCGAGUGCGAUGUGAAGGAGGGUGUUGACUUACUGCCGCAGCCUAAUAUGUGGAUGAUGCCCCUGAUGUGGAUUUUCUGGUAAAUCCCCGUGGCUUUACUACUGCUUGGUUAGACUUAAACACAACCCUUCCCUGUUAUUGUGAGGGAUUCUCAAUGAAGCCGAUCCAGAUAGAGCUACAGUUACCACUGAUCCCGCUGGUGUUGGGAAAGCAUGCGAAGCAUUUGAGUCUGUGCCGGCGAGCCCUAUUACUCACGGCCAGUAAUCCUGCUGGUCCUGAAGGGACUUUCAGAUAAACACACCCAGGAAAAGAUGGGACAGGAAGGGAGGAAGGGAAGAAGGAGACGAGAUGAUGAUGAUGGAGUGCAUAAUGAAGAUAAAGUUGAAAUGAAGUGGUUGAGCGCUGAUAAGACGGAGUAUCUGGUGUCUGUGUGAGUUUGUUUUGGGUUAUUUAACUCUGUGAUGGACAAAUCGUGAAGAAGUGAGGAGGAUUUAUGCUGUUCAGACUGAAGAUAAGACACAGACGUGUGAUUUUAGCCAAGAGCAACACGGCGCUCCCACCUGCUCUUUAAGAAUACAAGAACACAAACACGACAAUCUCUCAAACGUGACAGCUCCAGCUUCAGCGAACACCGUGAAGGUCCUUCAGGAGAGUCAGUCUGACACCCGAGGGUCCUGCCGCCCAGUUAGACAUGAGAAACUGGGAAACAUGGAGCAAACUGGGCCAAUAAGGAGAUUUCAAGUGUUUGUUCGGAAAGAUAACUCAGUUUAUUAAAGUUUGUGUCGACGUUGGCGCCCCCUGUGGACACAGUGAUACCUCUGAUCACCUUUUAUAUGAGUUUUCAUUCAGAAAAGAUGUCUGCCUGUUAGUAACGCCAAUAUGGAGUGAUUAGUUAGGGUGACCAUACGUCCUCUUUUACCCGGACAUGUCCUCAUGUCCAUUCUGGACACAUCUUUUUUUCAGACUUUUCUCUUAUGCCCUCUAGGAGGCGCUACUAUGUCCCCCCAAGAAGAACAAAUAGGUAGUCCAACUCAUUUUUCCCCUCGGCGAUCAGGCUGAUAAAUGCUGAGAAGUAGCAGAUUAUUUUAGUUCUUAUUUUACUCUUUUUAUCACAUUAUUUUUUUAUAGCAUUAGUUAUCUAUUUAUUGCUGAUCUGUGGUGCUGACAGGGGAAUAUUUGGGCCGUCAGUGUCUGAUAUUUAUCUGUUCCUUGAUCGUUUAAGAACGAGGCGGCUUACUGUGAAGUGAAUUGGCCUUCGGGGAUUUAAUAGUUGUCUGAAUAUGAAUCAGAAUCUUUUUGGGGGCUGUCCGACUUUGUUCAGGGGAGUUUAUAAAUUCCUUCAAAUGUCCGCGGUUUUGUGCGUAAAAACUCUCAAAAUUAACUUCAUGCGACUCUGUGACUCCGCCCCUGCAUAGUCAUUUCUUCUUUUUGGGAAGUCAGAAUAUGGUCACCCUGAAUUAGUAAUUAAUUAAACAUGACUACAGUUCACUCGUCACCUUUCUUGGUUCACUUUUAAGGGUCAUAAAGGCUACGUUCACUCUGCAGGUUCUGAUGCACAAUUCGGAUUUUUUGUUAAACCCGAUCUUUUUGUGCGGUCGUUCACAUUAUGACAACGAAUGCGGCAUCUAAUGUGAGCAGAAUGCGUCGUAGUUGAAGUGACCCGCAUGAACACAAAUUUCUUUCCGCGCCUGUUUGUGUUGUCGAACAAUGGUGAUGUUUGUCGCAUAUUGAUGACGUACAGGUCCGAUUUAUAUCCACUUACAAAAGAGGCCUGGGUCGGAUCAGAACCAAUCAGAAUUGACCUGUUCACACUUAGAUGAAAAAAUCUGAUAUGAGUCACAGAUGGUUAAAACAUCUGAACUGACCUGCAGUGUGAACAUAGCCAAAAACUCCUCACUGUGCCUUUAAAGGUCAACAUUCACGACCUCAGAUUAAAGUUCAUGUCUGUUUGACCUUUUCACCUCCCAGAAAAGACUUUUCCUUUAUUUCCUUUAUUUUAUUUUGCAUAUCUAAACUUAUAAAGGCGUCAAAAGCAUCGUUGUUGUUUGGAGUUUGAAUGAGGUGAAAUCGGCGGAUGUGUCGGGCUCACCUUAACCUCGUCUAAUCGUACAUACGGCGUCCACGAUAAGAGCUGAAUGAGCAGAGUCUUAUUAAAAUAGCACGUAGCAGGCUCUAUACAUGUGAUCCACUUUACCCCCCUCCUGCGCCACCUGACUCCAGAGGCCCAAUCUAAUCAGGUCACUACAGCCGGCCUGCUGGACCAGGACCAGGCCAUCACGUCCUUACCUCAGCUGAUAUACAUGUGGUCAAGAGAAGGAAGUGGCUGAGAUAACCGAGGCGUUUCUCAGUCAGACAGGCAUGAGGUAAGGCCGCAGGAAUCUCUCACAGGGCAUUACCUCAGUCUGCAGGCCUACCAGCCGCUGAGAGGAGUAAAAAAACACACAAACUACACACCCCGGAGCUGGUUCCUAUUUUAGGCACCCGGCUGGAUGAUCAGCCUCAUUAUUAUGAUUGUCUGCUGUUGUGGGAAAAGCACCAUGAUUCAUAAUUCCUCAUUAUGAGGUUGGACGGGGUUUUUUGGUGUGUGUAAUUAAAGGUUGUGUCUGCACUCGCUCCAGAGUGUGCGUCAAUUUGUCAAACGGCUUCACACAUUGUUUUUUCCAGAAGCCCAGAAAGGUAGCGGAUUAGUUUUUGGAGGGGAGACCCGCUGCAGGUCCGCGGAUGGAGUUUCAGUCGUUCGCAGGUCUUGCCGUGUCUUGUUUCAUCCUCAUAAGCGCUGAUGUUAUUCUUCUCUGACAGUAACCUGCGCUGCGCCCUGGCACGGCCACCAGGAAUGUUCAGAAUGCACCUGAAAAAGUCAACAAUCAAAGUAUUUAGGAGACAUUAAAUUGCACACAAUGACUGCCGGGUACAACAGACGCCUUUGUUGUGUGCAGUCAGGGCUCGCCGCAGAGGUACAGCGCGGACAGGGAUCCUAUUCUGCUGUGUAAUCGGAGAUAAAAGAAAAAAAGAGAAGUGUAGGGGAAAAGGCUUUAGAGGGUGGGUAACUUCAGAUCCUAUCUCCUCCUCUGCAUCAUCUGAGCAGAGCGGACAAUCACAGACUGUGUGUGGCACACUCGCUCACCCUCAUCCCCGGCCAAGGCGCCGCAAAAUUAAUUUUGAUCUUGGCGAUAUCCGCGGGCCCGAGCCGCGUGUCCACGCCCAGAGAGGACCCCCACGCCCCACGCCACGCCAGCCUCCGCUCCUCUGAUGUUUCUGACUUUAUGCCAUCUGCAGUCGCUCACCCACUCGGUGCGUAAAUCUGCAGGAAUGUCAAUAUAUCAGAGCGUCUCUCCUUCGCUACACCCAGGAAUCCGAGUGUUUUCAUCCGAUCUGAUAAUCGGAAAAGUAAACGUUUCUCCGUCACUGUUCAUCACCCGGAGAUACGAGGGGUUUGUUGAUUUUCGUUUGUGUUUCUCCUCACCUCUCGGGUUUAUCUCUGCUGGCAGCUGGCGCCAGGCAUGUGUUUGGGAGAGAGGAGAGAGGAGCAUUGUUUUGCUUCACGCUGUCAGGGAGGCUGUUUGAACCUGAAGGAUUUCAGCAUUACGUAGCUGCUGCACACACACACACACACACACACACACACACACACACACACACACACACACGCACACACGCACACGCACGCACACACACACACACACACACACACACACACACACACAAUCACAUGUAAUUGUGUUUCUUUCACAUUCCUCCAGAACCAUUUCGAAACAGUCUCGCUCCUUUACUGAAGCUUCCUCAUGACGUCAAACACAACCAAACAAAGCGCUCGUGUUUGGGUCUAAACUCGAUAUCGUCACUUUCUCCUAACGUGACGAUAAGUGAGUUUUUUUCUCUUGAUGAUUCCCGUUUGUUCCUCUGAUUUAUUAAAAGCUUUUAACAUCCAUGAUGAAAACCUUUAGAGGCGUUUUAAGGAGUGUUUGAUUUCGUGAUGGCGCUGCUCUUACAUGAUCCCACAGAUCAGGUGUGAUUAACAGCAUGUGGAGUCAGUUUGCAGCGCUCACUCUGACGUGUGUGUUUUCUCUGAAUGAGUUUCUUUGACUUGAUGUUUCAUUCAUGUCUGAAACCGGAGCAGGGUUAGCAUAAAGGCCUGCGAUUUCUGUUGAUGGAGUUUGCAUUUUCAUUAUUCAGGCACCACUAAGAUUAGAUUUAACUCAGGAGACCGAUGAUACAUGUUAACGUCAAAAACAGGAGAUCCACUCACUGUUCAGGAUCACUUCGAGAGUGAGGUUUGGGUCUCAGGUGAGAACUUCAGGUCAUUCGACUCAGCAGGAACCGUCUCUUCAGGUUCCCCUUGCUGUUGUUUACGUACACCAGCUGAAGUCAAUUUACUCUGAAAUGACAAAGUGGAUUCAGUUUGUUUAAAGUGAUUUCUUUGUAAAUCAACGUCUGUGUUAAAAGUCACUGUGAGGAGUUUUUAAAUCUGAAACUGAUGUUUCUUUAUGACGAGACAAACGGAUUAAAAAAAAAAAAAACUUUUUCUAAUUUUUCUUGUGCUGAACAAAAAAUACGAGGUAUCACUUUGUCCACAGGGGGCGCCAAAAAAGCAUAAAAGUUAUGUUUGACCCCCAAUUUCCACUGCAUCCAGAACAGGUCGUAUCCUCCGAUCGUAGCUGAUCGUAACCAUUCAAGUUAACGUGUCAAUUUAUGCCGACUUCUUUCCGCCGGACUCCUCAGCUGAUCACAAGAGUUCUAUUUUUUCUGGACGCCAGAGCAUGGCGGAUAAAUUCAGCACAGAUUAACCCGUGCUGGAAAGGAAGUCGGGCACCGACACAAAAUAAAACAUCCGGCUUCUUUUCAAAAUAAAACACAACCUUUCGCUUGUUCGGACAGAGACGAACAAGUGAAAGGUUUUUAGACGUCAUUUCACCCCGAUGACACCAUGGAUGAGGAGAUGCUGAUUCUAGAAGUCUAGAAGUAGAUUUCCUCCUCUGGAAGGACACAAUCUACUGCUUAUAUGUCUAUGUGGCCGUGGCUAAGAGACAACGCGAUAUCCCGCGAUUGCACGUGAGUCAGCGGGUUCUUGUUAAUCCAUGAAAUUGGACUCACCAACGCAUCUGGUAGGAAUUGGCGGACGGUGAAAAUCGCUGCUGUUCUGGAUCAGAGCUGUUCCCGAUGCAGUGAAAAUUGGGGGUAGGGAUUAAGGAUUAAUAGGUUGAGUUCCUCGCUCUGUUUCGACAUUUAUCGACUCUGGAUCUGUGACGGUAAAUCUGCUCACCCUUUAAUGAUAAAUGAUCAGAGUUUAUAAACUUUAGUCGUUGUUGUAUAAGUGUUUGAAAAACUUGUUUAUUUCCUUGAGUGAAUUAAAUUAAGAGUUUUACUACAGGAGAGUCUGCUGCGUAUCCCCCCCUCCCUCGGUCCCUGUCACCCCCCCACUCUCUCCUCCACAUUACUCAUGCUGCCGUUCGCCCCCCUGGACCUGUUGACCUUCUAAAUUUAGCUCUCUGCUGGUAUUUUGGACUGAUGAGGGAAUUUUUAAAAGGGACAGGAAUCCUGGUGACUAAUGUGGCGUGCACGCUCAGGACUUAAACGCAGAUCCAGGAUGUAAACAGUCUGGCUGUUGUUUCAGAGGAGGAGGAGGAGGAGGAAGAGGAGCGCGGUUUCUGUCCGCAUUCAUGUGACGUCGACGGCGAUACGCGGGAGUAAGAGAAGAGCUGAUACUCCUCUGAAUGUUUAUCUAACAUGGCUUCCCUGUGCAAAGUGGAAAUAUGCACCUUGAGAGUAUAGCUGCUUUGUGUGUGUGUGUGAGAGUGUGUAUGUGUGUGUGUGUGUGUGUGUGUGUGUGUGUGUCAGAGGGGAAAUUCCAGCCAGGGGGAUCUAAGGUGUGUCUGAGGAUCAUCUCUGACCACUUUAAAGCGAGGCCAUCAUCGGCGUUCCUGUAUGACUCUCGGCCCCAGCUGCGCGUCUCUCUGAGGGCUCAUUAUUCUGGCAGGUGCCCUAUUGUCCCGUCUUUGCGGGCCUUUUCAUGAGCGAAGUGAAAACACAACGCCAAAAUAUGCAGAGGGAAGGAGGGAGGAGGAGGAGGGAGGAUGAUGGUCUGAGUCAAAGUCAAAGUGAAGAAGAAGAAGAAGAAGAAGAAGACUCGGAGAGAGUGCGUGCAUCAAAAGAAGAGAGGAACCUUUGUUCGCGGCGGAGAAUAGGAGCUGUUUGGAUGUUUGGCGGCUGCGGCGGCGGCGCUGGGAUGUGGUGAUAGUGGCCACUUUAAAGGAGAAAACUGUGACACACUGAUGUGGGGAGGACGGCGUUUUAUGAAUGAACGCUCCAUCAGACACACAGCUGCAGCUCGUCCUCUCUCUCACUCUCUUUCUGGGUCAUCUCUGAUUCAUUUCACCUUAGCCGAGGUUUGCGGCCUGCAGAAAUGACAGCGCUGUUUUCAGGGCGAAGCAACAACCCCCGCUGUGUGUGUGUGUGAGAGACCGUGUGUGUGUGUGUGUGCGUGUCUUUGUGGAUGACCUCAUGGGAAAGUCCUUUUGGUCGGGAAUAAACACAACAAAGGAGCUGUUGACAGAUGUUUCAAUAAUAGCAGAACAACCGGCGCUCUUGUGUUUUAAUCUGGCGAUGGCUGAGUGUUUGUGAGUCUUACUUAUGUCUCGCCAAACAUCUUAAAGACAGACGCACUCAGGGAGUACGUGGCACACAUGGGAACGGGGUUUUGGACCACCUUUAAAAAAAACCUCUGAAGCUUCCAAGAAAAUACCGUCAUACUUGGAGAACGAUGUGUUGACCCUGAAAUCGGAGAAAGUACAUAAGGGAAAAAAAACACAAAUCUUUAUCAGUUUGAACAAACAGAACAGGCUGAAAAAUGAGAAAAUAAACUGAAUCAAGAAAAGACGGAUCAUUUAUGUUUUCUUCACUUUGUCCAGUUAUCUGAGAAAUUUAAGUUGGAUCAUAAAAAUCAGAGAAGUAUAAAGAGGAUCAGGGACACAUGGAGAUAAAAAAACAAUUACUGGAAAGGAGGUUAAAGACAACAUUUCAAGAUUAAAAAGUCGAAAUUAUGUCAAAAAAAGUCGAAAUUUGAGAUUAAAGUCAAAAUUUUCAGAUUAAAAUUUCAAAUUUCGAAAUCAAACAAUCGAGAUUUUGGGAUUAAAAAGUCCAAAUUUAAAGAAAAAAUAGACAAAAUUUGGAGAGUUAAUAGUUGAAAUAAUGUCAAUAAAGUUGAUUUUUCGAGAUUAAAAAAUUGAAAUUUCAAGAUUAAAAAAUCAAAAUUCAGUAAAAAAAAAGUCAAGAUUUUGAACAUGAAAAAAAAAUUUCGAGGUUAAAAAGUCGAAAUUUGGAGCUUAAAAAUCUAAAUUAUGUCAAUAUAGUUGAAAUUUUAAAGAUUUAAGUCUUAAUUUCUAAAGUAGAAAUUUUGAGAUCGAAGUAGAAAUUUUGAGAUUACCAAAUGAAAUGUCAUGAAUAAUGUCAAAAUUUUGAGAUUAUAGUUGAAAUAUCAACUUUAUUCACGUAAUUUUAUUUUUUUAAUCUCGACUUUAUAAAAUUUUGACUUUAAUCUGGAGAUGGAAGUUUAAAAAAAUCUCUCUCCUGUAAUUAUUUUUAUCUCCUCUUGUUCCCCUAAUCCUCUUUGGUAGAAGUGAGUGAGGAGGUCAGAUUAUCUGUCCACGAGGUCAACCUGAACUACGUAUGAUGAAAACAGGCGGGAAAUGGCGUGAAGGAAACCCCGCCUCUCUUUGGGCGCUCUCGUGAACAUGAGGUGGCGAGACUAAAGACCAGAGUUAGACUCUGUCUUUGUGUUUGCCGUCCUUGCAGAGCGCUGCAGGUUUAAUAUCUCUGUCAUUUUAUCUUUAAAGGAGACAAACCAUCAACAAUUUUAAUAAACAGAUGAAUUUUCACUUUCUCCUUCCCUCCGUCUGUUUUUUUCAGCUUCAUGAGUCCAGACUGUGAACUCGAUCUGCUCCAAAUGUGUGGAGUCCAGCCUGAUCCUGUUAGACAGUAAAUGGACUGUAAAACACUUUUACACCACAUGUCAGAUUAACCCUUUCAUGAACAAACUGACGGCAGGAGCGGCUGCACCAACCGCCCUCUCUCAUGUUUCCACCGGCCUCAGCUUUUUUUGUAGUUUGAGAUGUGAAAUCCAAACACCAAUGAAACAUUUAGAUAUUUUAAAGUUUUUUUAAUGCUUUAAACAGUUUAUGGUUUGAGUUUUUGGAUUCACUGAUCCAGAAGAUGUUCAGGAAAUGAACGCAAAGCAUAGAAAAGAAAAGAGACACCUCUUCAUCUGCCUUUAUAUAUAUAUAUAUAUAUAUAUAUAUGUAUUUUUUUUUCAUGCCACCCAGUCCAGUAAGUGUUGUGCUGAUUGUUUUUUGUAAAAAAAUUGAAAUCUUUGCACAAGCCACAUUUUCAGUAAAUUCUGCUCAAAUCAUCAUUUUUGUGACUUUUUUAACCCUCUGGUCCUACUUUGUCCGUUUUGAGGACAUUUGUCUUUUUUUUCAUCUUCAUUUUGAGCUGAUAGUCACAUUUUUGAAUAUUUGGGAAAUGUGGCGAUUUUUUUUUGUUUUUUUACUAUUAAAAAUAAAUAUGACGUGUUGCAGAAAAACCGGCAUAAAAAGGUUAAUACAUAAUUUUUUUAAUUUAUUAUUUUUCUAAUGGUCAGGGCUGAAGUUGUUUAAGAGAUAUGAGUCGAAAAAAGUAAGAAAUGAAAUGAUUAUUUUUUGAACACUUGAAGGACAAAGUCGGCUGGAUGGAGCUAAUACACGGAAAUCGGAACUACAAAAAGGAUUUAAAUUCACCAAAAUCAGUUUUACUUCUUAUCAUUAACACAGACCAGACUCUUUUUAUUAAAAAAGUAAUAAUAAAAAAAUCAUCAAAGUCAUUUUAUUUGGGAAAUAUGGCGAUUUUGUUUUUUUUUUUACUAUUAAAAAUAAAUAUGAUGUGUUGCAGAAAAACCGGCAUAAAAAGGUUAAUAUGUCAAUUUUUUAAUUUAUUAUUUUUCUAAUGGUCUGGGCUGAAGUUGUUUAAGAGAUAUGAGUCGAAAAAAGAAUAAAAAAUGAUUAUUUUAUGAACAUUUAUCUGCAUGUCUGUUUUGGAGACAAAGUCAGCUGGAUGGAGUUUAAAAUUAACAUGAACGGAGGGUUAAAACUCUAAAACAACAACCGUUUCUGUUUGGGUCGUUGGAAAAUCAACAUCUGGACCUGAUUUAUUCAUUUUUCAUCGACUAAUCGACGCUGAAACCUGCUCUGAUAUUCUGGUUUUCUUCUCAUGAGCGUUUUACUGACUGACACGAGGUGAGCAGAGACCGUCCUCAGGCCGGCGCUCGCCAUCGUACUCCACACAAACGGGGGCUUUGUGGCCCCUGAGUGUGCUCUGGGAGUCAGGAGGUCAGGACGGUGGAAGGUGGGGUGAGGAGGUGAGAGUGUUUGGGGGAGACAUUGAGAGAGGGGCGGCCAAGUUUGGCGACAAGGCUUCGGUUGUUUUGCUAAAAAGGGGAGGAACAACCCUGACAUUAUGACACCACAUUAUGUGGACUCUGCAGCGCGGCGUUUAACCUCCACGAAGAAAACGAGCGUUUCUUCACCUGAACGUGUCCUUCAGCUUCAAGAACAAUCUGUAAAGCAUGUUCAUGAGUGGAUUACUCCCACGCUGCGGAGUCAGAAAUAAAGCCACUCUUACUCCAUCGUCUUGGUAAACUGAUUACAGAAGUUGUUAAAUCUAAAUCUGUUUCCUUUAAAAAAGAGAGAAAUACUGAACGCUAACCCUUAUAUGAAGGAUGGGAUUAAUGAAGUUUUCUGCUCAUUAGUGUUCACAAAUGCUUUCAAGUUGAAAAGCCUUUUUACUCCUGCGGUAAUCUGCCCGUGAGAGAGAGAGAGAGAGAGAGAGGGAGAGAGAGAGAGAGCGCCGUCCGCGUUCUUCCAGAGGUCAAAAUGUCACUUUUGGUUGUAGGGAGAAGUAAACAGGAGUGGAAUAAGCCUUCUGUCUUAGGGGGCCCACGCCAUAAAUCCUGGGAGUAAGACUCCCUCUACAUGGUCUCAGAGCGCUGAAACAACAGGUCAGCCUUUAAUCGCCUGUAAUAGAAAUCCUGUUGUUUUAGCCGAGGCCAAGAGAUUCCCCGACAGACUGCUAUAGGUCCAAGUUAUCUGAACGCACGGCUCGCUAAACGUACAUAAAUAUAUAUAUGAUAAAAUGACUUUAAAACCAAACUAAAAACGUACCUUUUUAGUCUUACUUUUAACUAAAUUUUAUAUCAUGAAUUUUAAGUGUUUUAACAUUUAUCUAUUCUAGUUUUAAUGACAGGAUCGUCUUUUAUUGAGCUACUUUGGUGCUCUUAUUUCAGUAUCUUUUACUGUUGUUUUUAUUUCAUUUUAUUUAUUAUGUCUUAAAUUUCUUUCUAUGUUACUUUGUUUUUAGAUUUUAACCCUCCAGUGUUUCCUUAUCUAAAACUUUAAAACGGCGUUUCCUCAGUGCGAACAUUCGAGCCCUUUUUAAUAUAAUGGAUUUUAAUUCUGUUUCUGUUGUGUUUAGAUUGAUUGGUGGAAAUGAAGGGUUGGGUUGGGGUAGAUUUGGGUUUUCUUUGUUUCUUUUAUUCCUCUGCUGUGUAAAACACUUUGUGCUACAUCAGAUAAAGACUGAUUGAUACAUGUCCAAAUUGUCUAACCACGUGGCUCGCUAAAGGGACAAUAAAUAUAUAUGUAUGUAUUUAUAUGAUGGAAACUGAGAGCUGCUUAAGUUUGCAUUAAAAUCAGAGCAAAUCUAAAGGUCAUAAUAAUUUUUAAAAACGGUUCAAACUCAGGAGGAGAAGAAAAAUCUGGUUUUUAUUCACAUCACAUUCAAAGUGUAUUUGGCAAAUUUCCCGUCACAGUAUCAGAGAUCCCAGAAAUCCAGAUGGACGAUGUUUUUUUAUAAGAUAGAGGGGCUAAAAAUGAGGGUUAAGAAACUGCUGAUUCAGCUUCAAGAUAAAAAUCUGAUGUCGUAAUUUUUAUUUUAGGAAACUUUUGAGAAAGUUUUUCUAAAGGAGCCACAAAAGUCUGAAUGAUCCUCAUACUGAAGCUUCAACACGACUUCAGAGACACUGAGCGGCACCGCAGACAACAACACGGUCAUGAGAUCAGAAAAAAAGGUUUAUCUAGAAAGAAUAAAAUAAAAAAAGCAACUGGAGACACAGACGUAAAACAAACACUGACAAACUAAUGAUUAACCAACCUGGGGUCCGUUUCACGUAGGUGGUUCAACAAACUCUGAGUUAAAUCCUUAACUCUGAGUUGAUCUACUCUGAGAUAAGAAACUCUGAGUUUCCGGUUUCACAACACCUGAUUUGAGACGGUUUUAUCAACUCCGAGUAGUUUGACCUGGAGUUAAGCACGUGCACGCCAGACAUGAACAGCCAGCAUCUGUGGAGCGCAGAUUCAAUGAUCAACCAAUGGAAACAGGGAGAAGGAGGGGGCAGCAGCAAGCCAACAGCGAAUUACAGCACGUUUUUAAAAGAAAGUGCAAUACAGCAGCAGCUGCAAAGGAGAGGGAGAGGGCUUGUGAGGAAAUCGCUGCUCGCGUCAAUGCGUAACUUUAAAUCUAGUCUCGUGCAAUCACAAUGACAGACUGUUGCAGGGAAACUGCUUGAAUCAUUUUGAUCAUGUUUUACAUUGUCAAGUAAGUAUUAAGUGGCAGUUUGAUCCCUUAGAAAAUGCUCUUUUCACACUCAAAAAUGAAUUUUACUCUCUUAUGAUGUUCCGUUAAAUGAUUAGGAAUAUUAAACUAACUCUCAGUAUGUAUAUGUACAUAUAUUAAACUAACACACACUACACUCAAUAUUAGACUUUCACUCAGCAAACAGAAAGAGGGCAGAUGCCAGAAAAACGGGUGGUGGUCCAGCAGCCCCACCUUUAACGGAGGCAAAGGAGCUGCCCCCCCCCCCCCCCCCCUUCGACGAUCGCAACUCCCACCCCGUAGCAGCGAUCGUCGGACUAGUGUGCGUGUGCGUGUGUCUGUGUGUGUGUGUGUGUGUGUGUGGGGGGGGGGAUUUGCGAUCGGACCGGCCGCGAUCGUCGAACGGGGGAGGUGGGGGGCAGCUCCUCUGCCUCCGUUAAAGGUGGGGCUGCUGGACCACCACCCGUUUUUGUGUUAGUUUAAUAUUCCUAAUCAUUUAACGGAACAUAAUAAGAGAGUAAAAUUCAGUUUUGAGUGUGAAAAGAGCAUUUUUUAAGGGAUCAAACUGCCACUCAAUACUUACUUGACAAUGUAAAACAUGAUCAAAAUGAGAAAAUGCCGAUGUCUCAGCUGAAACUCUGGGUUUACUGAGUUAAACCUGCCCCCGAGCAGGUUAGGUUCACGGAGUCUGUUACUGUGGUAACUGACCGCGAGGUUGAGUUACCUCUCUUUGUGAAACAGGUUAGAGUUACCCCUCUCUCCCUGGUUUAACUAACCCUCCUUUGUGAAACGGAAAACUCAGAGUUUCCCUGAUUUCAGGGUUAACAAACUCGGAGUUUCCACUAAACCUGCUACGUGAAACGGACCCCAGGACAGAAGGAAAGCAGGGACUAUACAGAGAGAGGGAAACGAGCGACAGGUGAGGCAGACGAGACACAGGUGAGAUAAACGAGGGAGAGAAAACUAGGGAAGUAAAACCAGACUAGAAACACGAGGAAUCAACUCCUACAAAAUAAAACAGGAAAUAAACUCUGAAAACUGAGAAUAAAACAGAGAGAACAGGAGGGAAACAGAGUCAAACUGAAAACUAACAAGACUGGACUACAGAGGGACAGGAACACGAGGGAAAAUACACAGAAAAUACACUCAAAUAAAACCAGGAGAAAAUUAAACAAACAGAACAGGUUCAUAUUUACAGGUUUAAAUGUUUUCCUCUGCAGCUGUUUGUGAGGGUGAGCGGAUCAUGCAGAAUGUGUUUCUGAGGUUUACUGACGUUUACUUUGAGGUCCUCGCCUCUGAUUGGUUGGUGCUGUGACAUGUGAUCAGGGUUGUCCAGGAUGUUACGUUUUGGUUCAUCAAAUUUCUAAUUUUUCUCGUCUCCAUUUUGUGCGUUUUGAUAUUGUCUGUAUUUGUAACUUCAGUAGUUUGUCGUCCUCAGUUCAUGUGCUCUGAAAUGCACUUUACUCGAUAAAAUGGGAGUAUUUAUGUCAAAGAUUUUAGUCUUCAAAGGUUUUUUUUAUAUAAAAAAUAAAUUCUCUUGGUUUGAAUUUUAUAAAAGUGGGUCGUGAUUUAAGGACCAUGGGAAAAUGUGAGUCCCAGAGUGAGACCAGUUGAGAACCACUGAUCUAGAUUAUCUAUGCAGAUCUGGGUGACCAGUGUCUUUGUCUCUAGUCUGACUGGCGAGCUGCAGAACUAAAAACAGCAGCAGCGGCGGCGGUGGCGAGGUGAAGCAGAGGAAUGUCUGGCCCGGGGUGAUGAGCAGUCAUAAAUUCAUUAGUGAACGUGGAGCCGGCUGAUUUGGGAGAAUGAACGCCGCUGCGUUGAUAAACCAGUUGACCCCGUCAACUUGGCAGCUGUCAUGACCUCAACCUGGGGUUGUAUUAGACGAGGGGGGGGCAGAAGGACAAUAUUUGUUUAAGCUGAUAAGGAGGGGUUGCAGAGGUUGUGUGAGUGUGCGUGUGUGUGUGUAUGCAUAUUUGUGUUUUGUUUAUGGUGCAUAUGUGUGACUCUAGGCGAGAGCACAUGUUGGAGAUUGAGCGGAGGAGCAUGCUGAGCCUCAGACCCGGUAUAUUGAUAGACGGAGGACUGAUGCAAGUGUGUGGCCUUGAGUGAGCCGCCGCCGCCGCCGCCGCAGCAGCAGCAGCAGCAGCAGCAGCAGCAGCAGCAGCAGCCUGAUGGCCUGCAGCUCUCAGCGCUCAGCGUCAUUAACAUUCCAGCUGUGGAGAUUUUGGCAUGCAUUGGGAAGCAUGACAAGACAGCUACACAUCUCUGUGCUGCUCUGUCAUUUCUCCACCGGGGAGAUUAAAAACAAGCUGAGUGGCUUCAGAUCAUUCCUGACAGAUCAUUUCUCGUCUUGUCUGCCUACCUGUCACUCAAACUCACCGUUACAGUGAUUUGUUUUCAGCGUUUUUUUUCUCCUUAGAGAGACAUGUUCUGCUGCUGCUGCUGACUCAACCGUCAGCGACAGGUAAAGAGAUAUUCGCCCUGAUCCCUCCCUGACAUGCUAUUCGCCCCGCGGGCAAACAAAUCCCAUUGCUCCCUGGCAGAUCCUAAUGGAUACAUUUAGAGCAAUUAUCUGGGUGAUAUUUACGAGGACGUGUGAAGUGUU